AUCGAGGAUACUAUCCUGAUGUAUGGCUAUGAAACACAACGUGGAUCUUUCGAGGAGUCCUAGGGACACUCGACGGACGACCGGAUUUACACUGUUUUAAAUGCGUUUCGAAUAAUUGCUGCGUCGGCAGCAAUUAGGCGCAUUUAAACCAGUUUAAAUUGGACGGUUCCGCCACAAUUUCGGUGGGGGAAAGUUGUGGAAAUUGAUCCCUGCUUCGUGUAGAAGGUAUCCUCCUACUUUUUCUCGUGUUUCACCGUUCCAUUUGGUAGAUCGGAGCGCGCAGUCGGAUCCGGUGAUGGUGUGCUUCGUCGGUUCGCAGAGGUACAAGUCCAACCUAAUUUCCACUGAUGCUAUCAAUAUCAUAGUCGUGAAUAUAUGUUGCUUACAUCUUGCAGAGGGUUUGGAAAAGCUGCAGGCGAAUGGCCAUGAGGAUGAACUGCAUGUCGUCCACAGAUGUGCACCACGGGGGCAAUGGCCAGGGUACUUCUUCAGGAUCACGUCGGACUCCACUGGCGACUCCCUCCCGGACUGCAACACCAUCCACUUCUGCAGGUCCUAGCAAGAGGUCACGAGGCAAGGCACCCGCAUCCCCUUAGGCAAGCGAGGACUCUGAAGGUAACCAGUCCGAGGAUGACGACCCUACAUAUGGUGAGGAACUGGAGAUUUCGGGCAUGAUCGAUGCUCCACCUGUGACUCAGACGCGGGGAGAGUCCAGCCAGGUACAUUCACCCGUUCUCCAAAUUCAAUUCUGGAUUGUUAAGUUCAAUUCCCGAAGUGUCAUACACCGGCAUGCUUUCUGCCCAAUUAUUCCAUAAGAACCUGCACCUCGUACCCGGAUGCCACACCGGCGUCGUUCCCGGGACCACACCGACGUUGGCAGUGCCAAUGUGCUGCCCAUGCAUCCAAGGAGGGAGCGUCGCCCAAGAGAUCCUUUUAGCCCUCCGGUUCAGCGGCGACCAUGACAAUGAAAGUUGCAUGUCUCAAGUCUGAUGCACUAGGUGUGCAAUACUGCAUAACUAUAUUGCAAUUUAUGCUAGCUGUGUGUGCAAGACUGUUAGAACUGUCACGUGUGUAAAAGACUAAGUUGGAUGUUAGUUUCAUUUCUGUUCGUACAAUGGUAUAUGUUUACUUCGUGACAUACUUGUGUUUCGUGUAGUUUUUCGUAAAUGUUCGUACUAGUCGGCUACCGCAUACUAGGGGAGAGGGAAUAAUUUUAUGAUUCAAACUAGUUUCAGAAAAAUCACAACAAAAAAGGCUAUUUUAGUUUCAUCAGCCGGAUUGUGCAAAUCUAUUGAAAGUGCUCGCCGCAGCAGCUGAGUCGGCAGGAGUCAGCAACCCAGAAAACCUACUGGAAGUUAGGCGGUUUUGAUGCGGCACCUCACUGCUGCCGUGCCAGGCGGACAGGCGCGGCAGCCCCAGCACACGCAACAUACUGAAACUUGUAGACGUGUGGCGCGGCAGCUCACCCCUGCCACACCACUCCGCCUGGCGCGGCAGUCCCCAUUCCACACCCCGAAACCUACUGAAACUUGUAGGCGCGUGGCGCGGCAGCUCACCCCUGCCGCGCCACUCCGCCUAGCGCGGCAGCCCCCGCCCACAGUCCCAACCCUACUGAAACUUGUACGCGUGUGGCGCGGCAGUUUUUCUUCCAAAAUUCUUCUUUUUUCCGUAUGGUCGAUCAUUUUAGGUCCAUGUAGGAAAAUUCGGACUAUUUGGGAGAGAUCCCAAGAAAAAGGACUCGUUACUUCCAUUACAAAAUUGGAAAUUUCGAAUUGAAUCCAUUUUCUAAUCUAUUGUAUUCUUUUUCGAGAAUGCUAUCCGUCGGACUCCAACUAAAAAUGCAAACAUUAACCGCAACCAUGCACGCAAACUCAAUGCAAAUAACAUAGUACAUAUUUUGUUAACAAAGAAUCAUAAUUGUCACAAUAAACAUAGUUCUCUCACAAAGAAUCAAAAUUGAAAUCAUCAACCUAACCCUAAGUCACCUAAACAUCCUCCGAUCUAUCAAAUGCAACGGUGAAACACGAGAAAAAGUAGGGGGAUACCUUCCACACGAAGCAGGGAUCGACUUCCACAACUUUCCCCCACCAAAAUCGCCGGAUUUUGGGUGGAUUUGGGGGUGGGGCGGCGGGCGGCGGUGGCAAGAAGCUCGUGUGAAAGUGCCUGGAGGAAGAAGAAAGGAGGGAGGGAGGAAGGAAGGAGCCGGCGCGCGUGCGUAGGUAGGGCGCUGCCGCGCCAGGCGAGCUGGCGCGGCAAGCGCCCACCCACGUCAGCGCCCAGCUUGGCGAUGGCGUCGCUGCGCCAGCGUGGCAGGGAUCCACCACGCCAGUGCAUGUGGCGCGGCAGGGGCUUCCUGCCGCGUCUGGCGGCCUGGCGCGGGCAAAAGGGUCACGCGCCGCAAAUAAAGUUCAGAGGUUAUUUUUAAAAAUGAAUUUAAAAAAAGUUAAAAAUAAAAAAAAUUCCAAAUGCGUGUGAGCAUGUGCAGGGGCAGCUCUCGAUCGACGCUGGAACUGAUGCGGCCAGGCCAAUCACAGUUGUUCACGCUCUUCCAGUUGCUGCUCUCACAUCGCAUUUGCCGAUGGCUCUCGAGUUCGCUCUCGAGUCUUGGCGCUGAAACUGAUGCGGCCAAAACGGAGCCUAAUCUCUCUCCCACAAGCCACAGCCUGAGGCAUUGCAGUUGACAAAUUUUUGAAGCACGAGAGUGGCAUGACUCCUACCCGUCCCCACACUCUCCCACACCUCUUUCACCUGCACCGCGUUGGAAUCGAUCCGACCCGUCUUCUCGUCCAACUGACUCGUCGAACACCGCUGACUCAUGCCAACACACAGCUCUUUACAAGACAUAAAACACACUUCAACCUGCAUGCGCGGACGGCUGUUCGAAGGAUCCUCAAAAUGCCGCAAUGGGAAAUUGUAGCACACACAUGGAAAUACAACUUUCAGAUGAUUAAAGUAUCAUUGUGCUUAGAAAACAGGUUAUCUGUCGAUUCCAUACACUUGUCAGGUAUCAUCAGAUGGGCUCCAAUGAACAAAUUGUACGUCCGUGUUACCAUACAUUAUUAUUUAUUAGUUGCAACAACAAAAAAAAUGCUACCAGCCAACUACAACACAAGUGUACACGGAAGAAUGGUGGUGCACUACUGUCAUGCCAAGUCAACAACCCUAGUGCAUAAUCCAUUGUAGUUCGGGUGAAGUACAGCUCGUACAUCAAGCAAUCAUUUGGAGACUUCAUCAAAAUUCAGCUGGAGAUCCAAAGCUCACUGCCAGAGGUUCAGUUUGUUGAUUUGGAGCCGUGAACCUUACGUGCAAAUGUUGCAGCAACAACAAGCGGGAAAGCGAUACUCGCAUCACAAUGCACCUGGAUUUCCAAAACAAUAGGUUAGAUUGUUAGACUAAUGGCCGAAUCUGAUGCAUGAUUAUGCCCUCCUACUGAUGAUUUCUUUCUAUUAACAGAGAAACCACAAUGAUAUCAGUCAGACAAUCAUCCAUAUCCAUCAGUUACAAACUUACAAUCAAGAUAGGUGCAUGUCUGGAUCCCAAAAUGCAAUGGUGUACAAUAUUCUGUCACUGCCAGCGCAGAAGUUGCACAGUGACUUAUUUAAGAUGUUUUAGAAAUUAAUAACAGCUUCAAAUCAUUUAGACAUUUUUGCUUUAGAUGGACCUCAUUGCAAGAUAAACCAACAGAAGAGUUUGUGCGUGCAGCAUGAUGUUUACCAAAAGUUCAACUCGAGUUACGCAAAACAUAAGAACAACAGCAUCUGGAACUUCUUGAAGGAACAUAUACCUUUACAGGUUUCGCUGAACCCUUGAUCUUUCCCCAUGAAACUGCUUCAUCAGGUUGUGCUCCUGAAUCACUACCAUCAAACUCUUGAGCUGUGUUGAUAUAGACUGCAUAGUCUGCUCCAUUGCGGAACAUAUUAGCAUUGCAUAUAUGAUGCUUUGGAAGGCCUCCACCAAGAACUAUUAUCCCUGUCUUCCUCGAUGCUGCGUGGAUGGCUUCCCCAUUCAUCAGCCGUAUAUCUGUAAAUAUUUUGAGCACAAUGUUAGCUACGAUAGCAAAAGCAAGGAAAGCACAGUGAAUCAUACAUACCUUGUACAAUGUCAAUAAUAAGGCCAGGAUUGCGGACUGCAUGACAGAACAGCAUGUCUCCAAGUGAUCCAUCAGUCAAUGCUGGGCAGUAUACAGGAAUGUUAUUCUGGUCAAAGUUUCGAUGAGUUAGGAUAUUGUGACUUCAACAAAGCAGCUCGUUAGAAUAAGAACUUAAACAUGAGAAAAGCACGAAAUCCAAUGCAAGUAAGAACUUAAACAUGAGAAAAGCACGAAAUUCAAUGCGAGUUUGUAUACCAUAUUCUACCUGGAACAAGAAAGGGUGCUUCCACCGAUCACAAAUACAAGUCCAUCUAGGUUUGUGCUAAGUCAAACUUUUCUAAUUUUGACCAGAAAUAUCUAUAAAAAUAUAGCAUCGUCUAAUGAAAAGAGUUAUAUCUUAUGAAAGGAAUUGAUGAUCAACAGAAAAGGCUUGACUUAGGACAAAUCUAAGUUGUAUUUGUGAUAGGAGGAAGUUACAGCUUAUGUUAACAUCACGAGUAAUAGCUACCGUAUGCAUCCACUCAGCUAUGAACAAUUCUAAAAAAACAAAGGUUUAAAUAUAGAGGUCAGUUAUGCAGGUACACUGCAUUAGUCAAUGUGACAUUAAGGUUCAACUCAGGAAAGACAACUAUUAUACACAGAUAAUGUCAAAAGCACGUUACCUUGUAUGCCCAAUAAAGAUAGGAGCUUUCGUCAUUUAUUUCUUUGCCAAGACGAGCUAUCACCUUUGACGGUGUCCAAAUAUUCUGCAGGCAACAAUAAAUUGAUACAAAGACACAUAAAUAUGGUCAACUACCUGUUUUCAGAAGUACAGGAUCCAUCAUUGAUACACAAGAGCUACCAGUUAAGCUAUUACAACAAAUUAAUGAUGUGGAAAAUGCAGGCUGCUCUAAAGUUAAAACAUCAAAUAUCCAGUAAGGUAUAACCUUCUCUGUAUUGAUAUUCAGCAACUUCUGCAGAAAUUAAUAUCUCAUUCUUCACAUAUUUGGUUUGGCAAGAUGUCACUUCUCUGGCCGUUCAAGUUCAUACACAUAUUGCUAGAAAGAAAGAAAACAAUAAAGUCACUAUUCAUUGCUCUAAAGGCCAGGAAAGGGUAUAAUGACGGUGAGAAAGGAAGCUAUGCAAGCAAGGCCAAGAAAAUGUCAGGAUGGGUUUUGAUUUUUUUUUUGUGUUAAGUAACAAGCUAGACAAAUAGAUUUUGAAGAACUUUUGGAUCCAAAUUGUGAUCUAUUCCAUAUUAGGUUUUUCUUUCCUGCUUAUUAGUGCCUCAGACUCAGUAAAAAAGAGUCUAGACCCUUCUAUAAGAAAUAUUCGACAGGCUGCAAGGCAAAAACAUAUUCAUAUAUUCAUAUUACACUUCUAGUAUCUCUAAUAGCCAUUGUAUAUGGCAAAUGAAAACUAGUGUUAGCACAUAGAUUUGUUUCAGCUGGAAGAAAUAUUAUAUAGCUUAAGAAACAAGUAGGAUUGUUUACCUCAGUAGAUUGUUCUAGUAGCAUCUGGUCAAAUAGUGGCAUGAUCCAGUUCUCAAACUUACAAUAGUUAUCAUUGGGCACCAACAGAUUUCCUAUCCGGUUCAACCCUUUUGACCGCAGUAGUGCUCCAGGUAAAGAAAAAUCACCUCUGUAAGUUGGUGCAAGGCAUUUAAUGAGAUCCUCCUCUAUACCCCCAGCAGUUGUAACAAUAACAUCCACCUAAAGAACAUUAUUAUUUGUAGAAAAAGUUAGUGGCCUUAGAACACUAGACCUCGAUGAGUUUUGUAAUGUUAGUAGUCGUGCAUUACUGGAACAGAUACAUCUAGGCAUGCUUCAAGUAGACCAAUUCACAAAUGAACAUUAAAACUUGUUUUCGUUCCAAAUUUGCACGUGUGAUGCAAAAGUUGGAGAAUUUACCAUAUGAUGCUGAGCUAGAAAUCGGACUAUAUCCCGGAUGCCAGAAGACACAAGGUUUGAAGUGAAGCCCAGAAAUAUCUUGCACUUCACAGAUUCUCUGUAUUUAGGGUCAAGUUCAGCUUCAUCACAAUCUUCGCCAGGCUUCUCAUGCGACAACCUCCAAUCUAACUAUAGUGUAGUCAAGCACAGGAGAAAAGAAUAGAAAAUAUCAGAACCUUGAAAUUGAUAAUAGCAAAUUCGACAAAACUGACAAUGUAUAUAUGCCAGGCAAACAUUAUGAAAAAAAAACAUUUCGUAUAUAGGUACUUCUAGCUUGCUCCAAACAAAAGUGCAACUAUAAGAGUCUACUUGAAAGGAAUCCACAAUAAAAGCAGGAACUUUCCCGGCCAUUUUAUGUCCAUCUGCUCCAUUUAGUUUAAAACUUCAAGACGCAUAAAUUAACUUUCAGCCGGGGGCUGCCAAUGCCUGAAGGCUGGUACUAGUAUACUUGUGUCCAUUCACUGUUACCACAAAUGUGCUACCUACAUCACUGAAAUUGUAACAGCUGGACAUGUAUCAGCUUCGACUUGUUUACAACUUAGCCUCCAAGCACUUCGGAGCAAAUUCCAGGCGUCUAAACAUUAAUUUGCGGGAUUCAACAGCAAACGAGCUACAAGCAGACCCCGCAUCGCACAAAAUCUCAUGAAAUCUGUCUUCUCAGCGUAGGUAGCUACAGUUAAUCCCAGCGCACACUCACGCUCAGAAGGGGAAAACAGAGAGGAGCAGGCGCCGUACCAUCUGGUUGACGACGUCGAUGGCGUCGCCAAGGUUGGACGCCUGGAACCCCGUGGACGCGAACGACCCGAGCAGCCCCUCGAGGCCGAGCCCGGGGUCGUUGAAAUCGGCGCCGGCGAUCCUCGUGAACCGGGAGUCGUCCAGCGACUCCGACGGCUUCAGCACGAUGGAGCGCACGCCCUCCAGAGCCUCCACGUCGUGCACAACGCCGCCGCUCCCGCUGCCUCCCACGCCGGCCAUCCGGGAGUCGGGUGCCCGAACCGCCGCCGCCGCCGUGAGACAGCACACAGCCGCCUCGCUUUCACUUCGUUUUCCGCCCCGCAAAAGCAGAGGAAUCAGAUUCCGCGCGGGCCGCACCGCUGCUGCCUCUCUCUCCCUCUCUUCCCCUUCCUCUUCUUUUCGUGGUGGUCAGCCCAUGGGCAGCGUCUGCUUUAAGCCCUUCUGAUAUUUUGGGCUGGCUGGAUCCAGCCCAACAUGACCAAUGGCGCAAUAUGGCAUAGGCCUUUUGAAACUGCUGCUGCUGCUGUCCCUGCUGCGUGUAUCGAUCUACUGGCUACAGUGACGUGGCGUAUGAACAAGGCACGCACGCGCCACACGGAUUCACGGGUCACAUUAUGACACGGGACAGUCGGUUCGUAUGAGAUGGCAGUUAGUGUAUGUUUGGGAGGGGUUAUUCUUCCAUCGACUUCACCGAUUUUGCACAAACAAGACAUUGUAACGUGAAAUCGUUUCACACAUACGGUCGCAUGUUGUUGGUUGCUACCGGUGAGGCGGUGCCUACAACCUGAUGGAGCAUCGAUUUGUCGGUAGUAACCAACUUUCCAAAGUUCUUUUUUAGGCAGAGCAACAUUACUGUUGUUCCUGCGAGUACGAGUUGCAGCUAUCACGUCCACGAGCUCCAAACCAACUUGGGAGGGUGCAUUACUGUUGAUCCGUCCCUUUCACUCUCUCCGAAUGAACGCAUCUUUUUGCCUCCACGUCGAUCCUGCCCUCCAGCUGCUGCACGCACGGCUCCCGUCUCCUGAUUGAUUCUGCCAAACCAAAGCAGGUGGUAGUCAGUAGUCACAGGGCCCCAGCUGAUGAUGCUCGGCCUUGCACACGGGCUGGAGCGGCGAAAAUUGCCGUUGGAACAGUGUUGCGUUCCUCCGGUCAGCGUCUGCUACGCUGCUGCUGGUGCUGCGACUGCUGUACGUCCACAUCACUAGCGACCAGCUUGGCAAUGAAGCGCUGAUUGACACACGCAUGACACCUUUUUUCUGCACACCGUGCUACGACGAAAAGGACACCCUUAUCGAUCCAAGCCUGAUUUUAUGAGGUCCGUUUUGGCUGGGCUCCUUUAACGGCUUCUGCUGAAGCCCUGCCAAAGGGCGUUGCACGUUCGAAAGAGCUUCGACUCUAUCGACUUCACCCCACGAAUCCCGCUGAGAGGAGCCGUUCCGGGAAGGUGGAGUCAACGGGCUGCCGUGGCUCCUCCUCCUCGUCUUCCACCCUUUCCCUCAAAGUAGGGCCCGCAGGCAGGUGGAGGCGGCGGGAGGCGGGAGUCGGCCAACGGGAGGUGGGGGCGGAGGCGGCCGAAGGCAGGUGAGCCGACGGCGGGAGGCUGGGAGCCGACGGUGGGAGGCCGGGAGAUGAAUAGGGAAGAGAGAGAAUGGGAGAGUAUGGGAGGCUGGAUAUGAAGGAAGAGAAAAGGAAGAAAAUAAAUAGGAAGAAAAGAAAAAAAAUGAAAAGGAAAGAGUAUUAUAGGUAUUUCAUCUUAUCUAAUCAUUUUAAACUACACGGAAGAGCUAUUUUGCCAAACGAUUGUCCAAAAGUGUUUCAGCUCCACUCCGUUGUCCAAAAGCUCUGAAUGGUGUUAUGUGGCUUACGUGGCUCGAGAUCUGAGCACUGUCCGGAGCCCGCAACGGCAAAACAACCUGACGCAGCAGCCUGAAGAAUUUCAGAGAAAGAGCUGGUCAAACAGGGAGCUUGAGGAGACACAAGCGGUGCAGCGAGCGUAACGUGUAAGCACCCAAAGCAUUAGAUAUUUUAGAUCAGAGGAUAGAUCGUAGAUGGAUCAUGGAUGCGUGCCUUGGAGUUGAUAGAGCACAGCAGCAUCAGGGGCCCGGCCGGGCCUGAUCAUUAAGCUUGCUUUAGAGAACAUGCUUCUGAACCGCCGUCGUUUGCACAGUCAUACCUGCUUCUGAACAUCCAUGGUCGCUCGCUCGCUCAUGGCGUGCGUGCGACGAAGAGACGAAGGCACAGAAGUGCCCGAGGAAAAGGAUGCGUGGUGUGCCCGGCCGGCGCGUGCGAACCACCGGGUUUUGACAGCAAUGGCUCGUCGCUGGCUGCUGUUAGGACCGUAUGCUACGGCUUGCGGUCAAGCUUAUUUGCAAUUCUGCAGCGAGGACGACAUCGCUCUAGUUAGCAUUCAAACGCGACGUGUGUGUGUUUUUUUAAACUAAACGACGUGUAUUGCUUCUUGGACAGCUGCAGACCAUGCGCCAAAAAAGACAAGGGCGGUGGCAAAACUGGAGACACGAAGACGCAUGGGUGGAUGUGAACUUGUGAAUCACUCAACUCUGACAAACCCAAGUAAAAGCGUACUGCACCCUUCGUCCUUCGUCCUAAAAUAAGUACACAUCUCAUUUUUUAGUCAAACCUUUUAGGGUGACCAAAAUUUAUAAAAAAACAUACUACUAUUUAUGAAGUAUAAUAAGUGAUACUUAAAGUUGAUAGUAUAAGUCAUACGUGUGUUGGGUGUAGUUGGUGGUGCAUGUGCACCUUAUCUAUCUAUGCAGUAGCUACUUAUUCUUAAAUUACCCCUACUACCUAUCCAUGUCUUAUCUCUGUAUGUACCCCUCCCAAACUGCUAUCCAUGUGUGGUUAAUGGAAAAAAUCAAUUUGGGCCACAUGAGCAUUGAGUAUACUUUACUAAUAAAUUUAUUUGAUAUUAUUUUCUACAUUCUUAGUCAAACUUAAAAACGUUUGACUCCUCGAGAAGCAAUACGUGCGUUUAUUUUGGGACGGAGGGGUACUCCGUGGUUACAUUAUUUUCUUUGAAAAUUUUUCUGUGGUUUCUUUUCUUUCUGUUUGAGCCACCAUAUUUCCAUGUCUUAUGCUGGCAGUCUAGCUGCCUUAUGAAUCAAUAUCUUUUGGCUUUGUGCUACUGUGUCAUAGGAAGAUACAAAUUUGAAAUGUGCAUGUACAAUUAUCUGGAUCGGCUGCAAUAUGAAAUAUCUUGUGAUAUAUUUUGACUGUACAUAUACAAUUCUAAACUCCUACAUGGUAAACACUGAAUUAAUAAAAUGUAUGAUAAAGACAUGUCUGUACCUAUCUGUGCAAACACUCCUUUCACAUAGGCCGACCAUCUGUGUAAAAAUUGGGUUGGCAGCUAUAUUGGUCAAUAGCUGCAACAAACUGAGACGCAGACUAACCAUCAGGGAUCGUGUCCAGCUGAUAAUUGCUGUCAUCUUUUAAUCUACCUGGAUCAGUAAGUGCUUGCCUUACGCCAGUACUAGCUUGUGCCUGGAAUUGCAUUUCAAGAGUACAGGUCAGUGUUGCUGUUGUUUCGGAUCAAAGACGGUAAUUUACUGAGUCUUCAUGUCGUUCAGAGUAUGUUACUCUGAACAUCUGUAGUUUCUGUGCUGAAUUCGGCAAUUUAUUCUUGGGAGGAACCAGUUGUGUUUGAAAGGGUACCUUUUCUCGAUGCAAUCUCCUUCUCAACUUCUGCAAAUAUCUCCUUCAACCAGUUGUGUGCUAAUGCCCAUUCAAUAUCUGUUGCUCCGGAUUAUCCACAUCCUGGUUGUUUCAUUUAUUUGCAUAGAUCAUUUGAUAUAAUAUUUUCUAUUUCAGGAUUGUGAAGACCAAUCUUUGGAGGUACCUGCUGCAAGAAGAUAGCAGUGAGAGAUUGAAUAGGUUAAUUGUUAUGCAGAAAAGGUUAUCGGAAGCAACUAGGGAAGCAUUGCCAACUCAAGUGAGGAAGAGAACAAGACUAACUUCAGCAGUUAAUACAUCAAAUAUUCAGUCAGCUAGCUCUCCUACUCCAGUUUCUCUUGUUCACAUGAGAAACAAAAGAACGGUUCAAAAAAAAUCACUUGUUUGGGAGCAUUUCAGUAUGGGAUUAAGAGGUCAACAUUCUUUUGCGACAUGCAGAUAUUAUGGGCAAGAAUAUAAUUGCGAUCCAUCAACUCAUGGGACAAGCACCUUAUGGAACCACUUAAGAAUAUUAUGCCCCCAACAACCAAUAAAGGGUCAGGAGUUGCAAAGGAAGAACCAAGGAACACCCAAGCAUUCUUAUAGCAUUGAAGACUGUCGCAAAACACUUGCUGAGAUGGUAUUGAUUAAUGAAAUGCCCUUCACAACUGUUGAGAGUGAAGGAUUCAACAGAUAUUCUAAAGUGUUACAGUCGAGAUUUGACCCUCCCUCUAGAGUCACAAAUUUCUACAUGUGAGGUGUUGUGCCCACAUUGUUAACUUGGUUGUGAAGAGCGGACUUGAAGAACAUAAUGAGUCUAUUGAUAAAAUCAGAACAGGGGUAAAAUUUGUGAGAUCUUCACCAUCAAGACUGAAGGUAUUCAAGAAAUGUGCAGAAUUGGAGAAAAUUUCAAGCAAGAGCCUUUUAACCUUAGAUCUAGAGACCAGAUGGAACGCUACCUUUCUAAUGUUGGAGAGUGUAGAAAAGCUUGAAAGAGCUUUUGCAAGACUAAAAAAGGAGUACAUGCCAUUCAAAGCAUACUACCCAAACAAAGAUCCUCCCAAUGCAGACGAUUGGCGAACAGCAAGGCGCAUAUUGUGCUUCUUGAAACUAUUUGAAAAGGUCACCACUCGUCUCUCAGCUUCGUUGCAUGUAACAUUAAGCAUUGUUUUUCAUGAUAUAAUGCUGAUGUGUGCAAAACUAAUUGAGAUUGCUGGAGGAGAGGAUCAGAUGUUGUCUUUAAUGGCAGAUCACAUGAAACUACAAUUUCAGAAGUAUUAGGAUGAAGAAGGUGAUCUGAACUACUUGUUAUUCAUUGCUGUCAUCUUAGGUCCCAGGUAUAAGCUUCAGUAUCUGAAAUUCUGCUUAGACAUUCUGUAUGGACCAGAUGAGGGCAAGGAAUUAGCUGAGAAGAUUGAAUCAACUCUUGAGGAAUUGUUCUGUUGCUAUAUUAAAAUUGUUAAUGCCUCUUCUAGCAAUAGAGGUUCAAAUCAAGCUCCAAUUCACAUAAGUGUAGAUGAAGAGGAUGAAGAGAACCCAUGGGACAUGCUAGCAUCUCAAUUUGAGCAACACAUGGAAGAGAUCGAGAGUGAACCAAAUGAUUCAGAAUUAACAAGGUAUCUAGCUAAGAAGCGUGAGAAGAGGGCUAAAGAGUUCGACAUACUGGAGUAUUGAAAAAUGAGCUCAAAUAAGUAUCAUAUAUUGUCGCUCUUGGCAAAGGAUGUGCUAGCUAUUCCUGCUUCCACAGUGCCUUUGGUGUCUGCUUUUAGCACGGGUGGACGCAUUAUAGAUCCACUUCACUGUGGCCUAUCGACUAGCAUAGUCGAAGCUUUGAUCUGCCCAAAAAGUUGGCUACAUACAUCUCAUAGCAAAGUAAGUGCAAGAGAGGCUGAUGAAGAGGUUCAGACAUAUGAGGAGAUUAGAGAAGGUAAAAUUUUUCGCAAUUUAGUAGAAGCGCCACCUUAUGUCUGUCAAAGUUGCUCACAACAUUCUAUUCAUUUUUAUACAGAGUUUCUUUCAAAGGACCGCACAGAUAACCAACAUUGCAUUGGUAUGUUCCUUUAUCUGUGAACACAUUAUUCACCAUUGCUCCUUUGCUCACCUAUAGUCUAAACUGUGAACAAUCCCAGCUAUAUCUUGCGCAUUAGGAAAGAUUGCCUGCCCCUUGCAUUGUUAAACACCUGUUGCUGCAGAUUUCAUUGUUAUUGCUAUUAAUGACAAAGCUUCUUUUCUUUGUUAUGCUGUAGAUCUCAUUGAGCUGGACACAUAGCCUUUUGGUGCAAGUAUGAGAAUAUUCUUGGUUCCUUUUAUGUGCUGUUUCAAUUUCUGACAAGGUGCCUAUUGUGUUUCUGUCAAGGUAUGGUAGUCCUUGCAACAUAUAGCAGGUGCAUUCAUUAGUCAGUAGCACUGUGUGUGCUAAAUGCCUUACUACAGUUUCUGCAUCAUCUGUAGCCUGUAAGUUCGUUUGAGUUGUGGCUUCAAUAAUUAUCUGUUCUUCUUGUUCCAUCUCAGAGUUUUAUCUUAUUCAGUAACCUGAGCAUUAGCAAAGCAUGCCUGCCUGUUGUCAUUGUUAAACACCUGCUCCAUUAGAUAUUAUUUAUUUAUUAUGAUGCAGAUUUCAUUGUUAUGCUAUUAAUGAUAAAGCUUCUUUUCUUUGUUAUGCUUCAGAUUUUGUUGAGCUAGCUGGACACAUAGACUUUUGAUACAAGCAUGAGAAUUUCUCGGCAACUAGUGGUAGUAGAUAAAAGCAUGUGCGCUUUUCAUUUCCCCCGGUGCUCUCUGUUGGGUCCUGCUGUUCUCUUUCCAUACUAGACUAAAUUAUGAACAUAACUGCUAUGUAAAUUUCUUUUCCCUGUAUUCCUGCAGAUCUUACUUUGUUGGAAGCAUAAUGUUUUCAUGGCAGUGUAUUGCUGCAGCUGUAAUGCAGGUGCCCGAGUAUUGCUGCAGAGACAUCACAUAUGGCACUAAUAUUUAUGGUUUUCCUUGGCAAAUCUUAUAGUAUCUUGGAUUAUUUCUAUAGCAAUUGUACUGUUUUUGGCAAUAGAAUCCGAUAUGCUGACUUGCAGGUUCAGACUUCAGAAUUUUAAAUCGUGACAGUUGAUAUCCCUUUGUUACUCUUGCGUGAUUAGUUUUGCAAAUGCUGUGUGUUAGCAGUAGCAGCGUUGACCACCCCAGAGCGCACGAAACCAUCAAACCAACCAGCCCAACCCACACACCGGCGUACUUCCAAAAACUGGCAGCAACCCGUGCAAGACUAGGCCGCCCCGGACCAGCGACUUUCUCUUGGGUUGGUUUGGAAACAAAUAAAAACCGGCUAAACCGGACCAUGAACAGGGCUAGCUGCAGCCUGCAGGGAUCCGAGGCCGUUGCCGACUGCGUUCCAGCGCGCAGCGAGCUGGCGUCCGUCCGCUCUCGUCUCAACGCCGACCUCGAUCCUCUACAGGCUCCUCUCCUCCCCAGCUUCAUGUCAUUGCCACCCAUGCUCUUGACGACGAUCCAACGGCCGGCUGGGGACCGGCAAGCGAGCAGGAGCCACCAUUCCCCUCCCCCCUCCCUUUUGUUUCGUGCCUGCAGCUGCCGGCGUCACGGGUCCGCGCCAGCGUGACCCGCGACAUCCUGUUGGAAACUUACGCGGUGCGCCGGCCGCGGGGGCGCGCCGGCUGUCCCCGGCCUUAACUGAACCGUGAUGAAAGGCCCAGCGGGAACGAGCUGCUCUCGCCAGAACGGAGGCUUCCUGUUUGGACGCAGUACACGAGCCAUGUUCUGCAUGACGCGUAGCGCAGCGCCUGGGACGUGGAGUUGGGUGUUGCCAAGCUUUUUCGCAUGCAUCACGAUAGAUGGCUUUACUGUGAAGAAGCGUGUGUGAGCUUGCAUGGGAGAUGAUUCACAGUUCACACCAGGCACGUAGCCGCCCGGGCGGUAAGCAUUGCUUGACGCGAAUAAUGAACCAAUCGGUGACGGCCGGGGCACCGACCCAACCAAACACGGGGAGCUGGGGAUUCGACAGGCAUGCGUGGGGCGGAUGCACUGCUACUAUCGAAGGCAAUCGACCCAAAAUUGUAGAGCAGUGGAGCGGUCCGAGUACUCCACCUAUUCUGGUUCUGCAGAGCAUCACUGUGACUGUUUGCUCUUCCCGUAUGAGUUGCCGCUAUCAAGGUCUGAACCUUGAUGGCCUGAUGAAGUCUCAACUCACAGGCUUCAUCCGUCUCUUUCAGUAUUAGCCGAUGCACCUACGUUCAGUCCCCUGAUCGAAUUCUGCCUGCCAGUAGCGUCCUGGUGGAGGAGGUAGUGAUAGUUCUUGCAACAGGCCAACAGCUGAUCCUGGCUAAUACCGGAGUGCUGAACCGGAUAGCCAUUCCUGAAUGAUGAUCUUGGUCUGCCGAUCUGCCCUGCAUAGAUGAAUGAUAGGCUAGCUGUUCGCGUCACCGUCUGCAGUGGCGCUGACGGCCACUACGAUCCCUACUAGCUCUACCACUAGGAUGCUAUGCUCCCGAGCUCUUUUACGAUACACGAUACUAAACUAUACUAUACUAGUGUUCAAAAAUAACUAGUAUAAAAAUAUCCGACGGUCAAGAUUAAUAGUAUACUACUAAAAUCUUCACAUAUGGUAUUGGUAGUAUACAUGAGUAGUAUACGUAGCAUAAGGGUAUCAUGAUAAAAGAACACAAAUAGUAUCACUAUAAUGUUAUUUUUGGCACUAGCGUAAAGUUUAAAAGACCAUUCCAUUUGAAAUAUUACUUUUUACAAUAUAAUAAUUAUAAAAUUAUUUAUAAUAAUGAAGAGUUAGAUCUUAUAUAUAAUGAAUACUUAAUAGUAGUAGGAUUAUGUAACGUAAAAGAGUUAACGCUCGCUCCCUGCAGCAACGACGACGCAACAAUUAAAACACGGGUGCGCGCGCGAUAACCUUUUUCCCUGGCACUGUGCUGCCCGAAAAGGACGCCUGAUCCUGCGCUAAUCAAGGGUUAGCCCCCUGAGUAGCAAGGCGCGCUGCCGCCGGAAGCAGCGCCAUUUUGAACCUUUGAGACGACUAGUAGACGAUCCUCUCUGUUAAGCCACCUGCUGUCCGGGUACUGGACUGUACUGCUACUGCAUGGGAGUAACUGAUCAGCAGGGUAGGUUCCCAUGAUCCCAUCCUCUAAGAUCAAGCGGUAUACGGCUCAACCUUUCAAGUAGAGAUGCAAAACGCGUCAGGCAUUACGUACUGUGUGAGUAUACUUCCUUUGACAGUUUGACCCACCUGUGAACGCUAGUACAGUGUUUGAGCUGCACGGCAUGAGAUAGAUGGAGGCCAAUGUGGAUGCAAGAGGCGUAUCGCGCAGGGUGAAUCUGAACUCUGACGAAGCUGUCAAACCGUACAUAUACACUACAGCAGUGCAAUUGCACACUACGCGGGCAUGGGAAACGAGGCGGUUGGGGCUUGGGCGACUGCAUACUAUGCGUUCCAGCGCGCGACGAGCUGGCGCCCGCUUGUCUCGACGUCGGACUCCUCUCCCUCCUUCCCGGUUUCAUGGUGCCGGUACUCGUGAGGAGAGACAGAGAUCAUCCAACGGCCGUCCAGGGACCAGCAAGCUAAUCCGCCUGCUGACCUACUUCCUCCGUUUAAACUUUUCUAUAUUUAUAGGUACUAUUAUGCAUCUAGAUAUACACUAUAUCUAUAUGCAUAAUAAUAUCUAUAAAUUAAGAAAAGUUAAAACAACUUCUAGAAAUUUGGAAUGGAGGGAGUACUACUCUCCGUAUCUCGUGGGAUACAGCCGCAAACGCUAUGAUACCAUGCAUUCAUGCAUGCUACGUAGUUUUCUCUGUGUUUCAAAGAGCUCCAUUUUGUUGCUGAUUUUUGUGUUUUUAUUGGCUGAUAUACAAAGCAAAUCCAUACCACAAUACCCCAGCAACUCCUGUUUGGAAAAGGUCGAAAGGAGUAUUCUGGAUCUUUAGGUCGAGCUAUCAUGUCAAGCUGUUGUGUCCAGGUGGCAUGGGGCUCAUCCUUGAGCAUCUCCAACAACUAUCCAUGCUCUUUGGUAAAAUGAUUUCUCUUUAUAUUGGGUUUCUCAUUGACUCUCCAUUUUUCACUCUCCAAAUCUCACAGCUAGAUUCCUCUCUACAAAUAUACACUCUCCAUCCACUCCAACAGUCUCUCCAUUUCGCACUACAAUAGACUCCCCAUUUUGCAAUGGGACUCACAUUUGGCAAUCUAACCUCACUCGCCAAGUUUGGAGGGUCCGGGGAAAUAUUUGGCAAGCUAUAUAGGAUGGUCAUUCAAACAGUAACUCUGUUGAAUUGUGAUUUUCGACCAAACUUACUAAAUUUUAACUUGGAGAGGAAGAUGGAAAGUCUGUGGAGUGGCUCUUGCUGCCUCGUUGGACUGGCUAUGCAAACUGCAAGAGGCGGCUUCCAAGUUGCUCGCUGCAAGCACAGUGGUAUGCAAUAAUGCCACGCUAGACGAGUUCAAUUAUUCAAUUAGCCCUAAUCCGGGUUACUUGGAGCGAGGCCGAGCUUGAGCGUGACCCUUUUUGUCGCUUAAUAACAGGAGAGAGGCCGCCAGGGCCGGGGCAGUUUCGCAAAUACCCCGUGACGGCAUGGGCGAGCUCUCGGGUCGGCACGGCUGGCCACCACAUGCAUGUCGAGCUCAUGCAAACUGCACGGUCCCCCACGGGCCACGGGCGGGUGAGUGAGAGGCGGAGGAGGGUGGUAGGAGAUUGCUGUGUUGGGCCGCCCCGGGUCAGCGUCAGAGAGAGAGAUUCCGAUACGGGGCACACCGCACGCACCAGACCGUCGCACACCCAAUCCAAUCCCCUUUCUGUUCGUCGCUUCGCUUCGGUUUCGUUCGUUCUUCUCCGUCCAGGACACGUCCUUGACGUCAGUGUAGGUAGCGACUUCGAUGGCUGGCCAGCCCUGCUCCUUCCGAUCGAUAGAUAGAUCUAGCCAUGCCCAUGCAUCCUGCUUUAAUUUACCUCCCUGUAAAUGCGACUGCGAAGACAUUUCGGGCGGCGGCCACAGGCCAUCCUGAACCGGUAAGCGCUGUGUACGUGCAUGGUCAGUGGUCACAGACAGACGUAAGACGUUGCACAUGGAUCUCCUCAGGGCAACGAGUAACGAGCGAGAAACAUGGCUGCCGAUCGACGACGAUGGAAUGGGACACUGCCACUAGCAGUAUUCCUUGCCUGUCAAGUGGCGGCACUUGGCCUGUUCCGAGUGGCCACCUUCCUGAUUUCUCCGAAUUUGGCCCUGUCACUUCCAGCUCCUCCGUUGGCAAUCUCCCGUACGGCAGACAUUCCGCGUGAGUUCCUUCAAUCCUUCCCCUUCGAAUCGUGAAGUCCACGAAAAGGCAAGCCGAGCAGUGUUCCCGGCCGCGGAAACGGAAUGCAGUGCCUAUAUUCCCGAGACGGAACCCGAGUGCCGCACCGAACCUGUGUGUUCCGCCCGCCCGCCGACGAGAGGACGACAUCGAUCCGGACGUGUAGCCGAUGUGGUGCGCACUAGCUAGGCGGCGGGAUCGCGAAUCGGUUCAGGUUGUCCCGGUUAAUCCGCCGUGCUAAUCUGACCACCGCCGCCGGUUAAUAAUCCACUCCAGCGAGCGCGAGCUUGUUGUCGAGGCGCGUACGCGGCGGGACCCGGCACACGUCACGUCACCCGGCCGGGUCCGCGCGGCAUGGCGUCCCGCCCCAGUGGCGGCCGGGCGCCGGGCGCGAGCGACGAGGAGGGCCAAGAGGCCAAGAGGUAGGGGUCUUCGCGUGGUCCGGCGAUGCCAUGAUGGGAAAUCCGGAAAGGGAAAGGGGACGCAGGCUCUCUCAGCCCGUGUCGUUGUCCUCGUAGUCUCGUACCCAAUUGAGCACGUUACAUACAGUCGACUGGAAGAGGAAAAUUCGACGAAAAAAAAGGCGCAAUUUGGCAUACUGCAUCAGCAAUGGCAAUUUCGAGUCGCUGACUCGUCUGUCGUUGAUUGAAUUGCCACAUCAGCAUAUGGAUCCCAGCGGUUACAGCUCAGCUCAGCUCAAUGCUGGCCCCGCGCGUCAGGCACACACACCGGAGCCCUUGGUUUGGUUCGCGGUGGGUGCUCGCACAUGGGGACCUCCGAGACCUACGCGUAUUCUACAUGUACACUCCGCCGCGUAUACGUACACCAGUACACUAGAUGCAAGCUGAGCUGCAAUUCCGUCCGUUCCGUUCCUACACUAGCAUUAGUCAAAGCCUUCGGUUGAUCAGUUAACACGUAACUACAGUUGGAUUUUUUUUCUUCCUUUUCAUUUUUCUUCUCGCCGAAGGCUUGCUGUUAGCUUCUACUAGUCCUAGCUGGCCAGCCGGCGGUUACUCGGCAAUGGCGCCGAGGUCCGGCACGAAGUCCCGCCCGCGGCUGCUGCCCCUCCUCGACCGCCGGCACGCCUUGCCGGGCCGAGCGCCGGCGCCUCCUCCCCCGGCGGCCGCGGCCGCGGCCUCCGGGAACACGAGCGGGCCGUCGUGGUCGCCCUCGAGCGCGGCGCUGGCGCGGAUGGCCAGCGCCGCCAUCUCCUCCGCCUGCAGCGGCCGCCGCCGCAUCGCCGCGGGGAGCACGAAGUACAGCUGCCCGGGCUGCAGCGCCUCCUCGGGACCCACGCCCGCCACCGCGCCGCCGAGCUCCAGCUCGUCCGCGCUGCACAGGAACCACGCCCCCGCGCCGGCGGCCGCAGCCUUCACGGCCUGCGACGCGCGCGUGCCGCCCGGGAACCGCCGCAGCGCGCCGUCCGCGAGCACCACCCGCGCCUCCGCCGACGUCGACCCCGGCGCCGCCGCCACCGCGGCCGCCUCGCACGAGUUGCAGGCUCCCAUUGUGUUAGAAUAUAUCCAAGGAAAUGUGUCUGUACGUCCGCUCGUCGUCGACGGACCGAAGGAAUCCAGAGGUGUCUCUUCUUGCCACAGCCGCGGCUAGCUCGAGCGCGGCGGCCUGCAGGACCGAGGCGGCCGGCGGCGAGCUGCUAGUGCUGGCUGGCUGGCGGUCGUUGUUGGGGGGAGUGGACGACUGGUUGAGUAGCGAGGCGGCGUCCGGGGCGCGCGCGUAUAUAUAGCCGAGGUGGACGCGUCGGGUAGCGCGGCGAGGGGGGAGAGCAGACUGGGGUGGAAAAGAAGCGAGACUAUCGAGAGAGAGAGAGAGGGGAUGCCAACCUGGAGGUUGUUGAGGACAGCUUGCAUGCGGGGUUGCUGCUGUACGCGCGCGUAAAUGCGUGUGCGGUCGCGGCCUCGCGCGAGCGUCACUGCGCGGCGGCGUAGGCCCCCGUCCCGCUCGGUGCCAGUGCCACCGGUACGCGCUGCCGCUUGGCUAGCCAGCGUGUCGCAUUACCUGGCGCUAUCUGCUAGCGUGGCAAUGUGGGCCCACCUGCCAGAGACACUGAGGCGCUAGUGGCUUUCGCUGCUCCCCCGUGCAUGCAUAUGCAUUCCCAUUUCAGCACGUUGUGAUUCUGAAGUCUACUUUGUUAGAGUAACUUCAGCAAAGCUUCUAUUCAUGCACGUAUUAAAAAAAGUAGAGGUCGAGAGAGAAAAAACAUCACUCCAGUAGGAUCCCUACUCGGAUCCUUGUCCAAUGACACGUUAUAAAGUACAGUACAGUAAACCGGAGAUCACCUCAUGAAUGCUGUAAAUGUAAUCUGAAGACCACUUGUUAACGGAGAAUAAAACUAAGCAGGAUCAGCACGUGUGGGUAGCUGAUCAUGAUGGUCUUUUGGCGGGAACGGCGCUUAAUCUAAUGCCGGAGGAACUCUCCGACAAGGAAACGGCGAGGAAGAAACGCGAGAGGAUCCGGAGGGAGCGCCGGAGCUGAUCAUUUGGGCUGUGCCCCUCUCCCAAAGAGGGGCCGCGAGCGCGCAGGGUCACGAAUCGCCGGAGGGAACCGCCAAACACGGCAACUUCGCGCCAUUUUCUCUCGUAGCGACAUGGGGUCCCUUUCUGGAUCCUCUCCGAUAGCAUUCGAGAUCCCGCUUCACAUGAGCCGCGGAAAUGCAGCUUAAAACUAUCGGGUUCUCUCGCCGCUCGGAUGCGUUCGGAGCACAGACAUUCAGACAUGCUUCAAACUUGCCUCCAGGAGAAAAGGCAUACUCCUAUGUCAUUAGGCUAUUCUAUAACGAGUGCAAUACAGACGAUUAUAGAGUUUAGUAUGCUUGGUUGACUGCUUCGGCAAAAUGGCUCUGAAUUAUGCCCGCUUUCCGUUUUUAAAAAAAGAAAACAUCGGCAAAUCAUUCGGUGAGCACAAUUUUCCAUUUCGUCGGCAUAGGAUUCCAUGCACAGCUCAUGGGCGUCGCGCCAUUGUCAGAGCUCCACAGUACUGUACCGGCUGCCGAGUCGUGCCUCUGCGCUGGCCAUGGCCUUGCCUGCGACUGCGAAUCGGUCUGCCAGCGCCAGCAACCGCUCGGGAUCCCCCGCUCCGACGCCGCGCCGUCGCCCUCACGACGCCACGGCAUGACACGUACGGUUGGCUUAGCUGGCCGGUCCCGCCUCCCCGUCCACGCCCCGCCCAUGCUGGAGCCCUCGCGCCACCCACGCGCGCGUGGACGGCACAGAAAUAAUUCACUCAUCCCGCCCGGCCCCCGGAGACAGCGAGCGCAGGCGCGGAGCUUGGCAGAUCGACCGGAGUCUAAUGCGCCGGGGACAGGAGCAGGACGGCCGGAGAAGUAAACGCUCGACUGCUCGAGCCAUCCAGACGCUGCCCAUACGCGCUGAUCAUUGGACCUGCUGGAAUCAAUGAAUGAAUGAAUGAAUGGAUGAGUGGAGUGUUUGUUUUGGCGCUGCUGAUGCGUCCGUGCGGAUCGAAGCAUUAACGUCGCCUGAUCGGACACCCUAAUCAUCAGCCGCGGCGACGGCGAUGCAUCUCCAUCGGACAUCGCCGUCGCCCGGGCCUACUCUUUGAUGAGAACAUCAAUCUCGCACAGUGCCGGCGGAUUCAUUUUCCCCGAUCGACCUCGUCUCGGCGUCGCUGGCGCUCAGCCUCGGCGAGUUAAUUCAGAUCAGUGGACCGUGGCAUCAUGCGUGCAAAAAAGUUCGCUGGUCACUCCUCCCACCCACAUUGUCAGGGUUGCAGGAUGGAUCGUAAAUUCUUGCAUUCUUCAGACUCCAACAUCACUGGACAGCUAACUGGCAACCAAACGAUUAAAAUGUUAUCACAGCAUGUUCUUAUAGUUCUCUGCAUUUUGUGUACUGGGUUUCUGACACCCUGGUUAACUUAAGCAAACUGAAAAGAUUCACAAGCACCAGUGCUCUGCACCGGGCACCAAACAUCUCCAAGGCCGUGCGUGCCAGCUUGCCAGGCUUGUAGUCAAACGACCAGAUUAUAAUACCACAAAUUGUCAGCCUAAGCUCUAAACUAUAGCCUCAAUCAGCAGAAGCUGCAUCACGCACGCAGCUGUAUCAAGCAUCAUCGUCUGAACUGAAACAUUCAGAGGAAAGGUUCGAGUUGUUUGGUGAUGCCCGGUCGCACGGGCAGAAUCUACUGCCAGCGCGCCGCUGUUCGCGGGCGCCCCGACACCGGAGGGACAGGAGAGCCGCGAGCUCUCGCGCUCAUGUGCGCCGGGGCGACGAUGCCCACAGCUCUGCUAGUUCGGUCGAGGGAAUCGGAACGGCAUUCCUUGCUGAUAAAACCGGUCACCCUCCUUCCGUCAGAUCGGAGCUAGUAGCUCAGGGAUAAGAUAAAAUGGAAAAGGGUCAGGCGAGUUGGGAGCGGUUGGAUGGCUCACGGCCAGUCGUGCAGGAUUUAACAAAGAUUGGAUUGGUUAUUCGGUUACUCAUUCUCGUGCGAAAAGGGAGAAAUGCUGCUGUCAGUUGUCACUCACGGUGGGAUCGGUGUUUUCUGAUGCGGCUGUGGGAUGCUACCUGAUCGCUCGGGGUUUUUGAGGCAGAUGCCAGUGCAAGUGCACGAGAUUGGAGCACUGGCAUUGGACGGCAAGGCGAUCCGAGAGAGGGAAUGCGUAAAGGCCAUCUUUUUUUGUGUCUGGUCUGAAUGUCUGAUCACGCAGCCACCGAGCUGAAUUAUCUGCAUCAGGGUCCGAAAAUGGGAGCUGGAUUCGCAUCCCUCGACGAGUCUCCAUCUCAUCUGACACCACAAGUUGGUGGCCAAAUUGAUUGGUGCUCGCCGGUUCCGUCGAUCAAGUGGGCCAGGAACCUAACGCCACAACUCCUGUUCCAGCCGUGCGGGCCAAACAGCGGUGGCCGCCGCUGCACUGCGGAGUGCAGAUUACCUUGGAUUGGCAUACAGCUAGCUCCUAGCUCUGCCCGGCUUGAAUAAUGCGCCGUUCCCGGCGUAAAGGCGUUCGGUUCAGGUCCGCGUCGUCGCCGGCUGUCCCGGGCACGUCGCGCCGGCCGUGCUCGGUUCCGUCCGAAUAAGCAGCGCCGGCGUUGUUGGCACGUCUCGCUCGCUCGGCGUCUUGCCGCUGGUUUUGCUUUUGUGCCGCCUUUGUUCGUGAGUCCAGCCGAGCGAACGUAGGUGACUGUGACUGUGAGACUGUCUGUUCGUCGGAACGAAGGCGUGGCAGGCAUGGACAUAGACCCCAAAAUUCCAAUUAUGUCACGAUUGAUUGAUAGCUUCUCCUCAAGCAUCUGUUCCGACUUGCGGCCUUAAGAACACUUUCGGAUCAGUCUACGCAGUUCAUCUCCACCAACCACAUACACCAGGUGGUCAUCAUCUCGCCGUUGCUCCGGUUCUUCUUCCCUGCACAAAAGUUCACAUCUAGGUGCAGAUACAGGCGAAUCAGGGCCUCGCAAGUGGCUGGCCGAGGCCCAACCGCCGCCGACACGAGAUCCAGAACAAACCGGGCGAGCUGUUCUGUUCGAGGAGGGCGCACGGGAGCCGGCGGCAUGGCAAUGUGGCGGGGGCUCCCGAGCCCACAGCAGCAGCCAAAUGCAUUGCACACUGGCGCUGCCGCCCUGGCACCCCUUGCCUGCGUAGAUCCUAUCCUCUGUUCCUUGCCCCUGCGAUCUGCUCCCUUCCCCUCGCCCAUCUCCUGUCCCCGUCCAGUUUUUCAAAAAUGGGUUUGGUCAACCGCAUCAUUGGAACCUUGUUUUGCUGGAUGGAUGGGACCCCCCCCUCUGGUGGACAGGCACUUCGCCUGUGGCUGGUGAGGGAUGGAGUGUCGUUGUCACCCCGAGGGAGGGGAGAGAUCCUGAUGGGAUCCACUCGCUCAGCGCAGUGCACUGAACAUCGCGCAAUGAUCAGCUUCGGCUUCGGUUGGUCCGAUCUGAUGCGGGAUGAUGCGUGUGGAUCAAGGGGCCGCUGGGUGUUUAUGUGCACUGUACAGGCGGAUGGAUGAUGAGCCCUCGCUAAAUCGGACGUCCCUACCAAUCAUGGGGACGGGAUUGUUUUUCUUUCUUCGUCUUUUGUUCUGCUUCGGAUUUAUUCCGGUUUUGUUGGUGGGGUGUUUUGUAUUUUGCUAGUAUUUUUUCUGAACGAAUUGUCACUAUUUUUGUGUGGCCAAAAAGUAGUUUAGAAUUUCAGCUAGGGAUGGAUCAUAGAUGUGGGACUUUGACGUCGUUGUUAGCAUUCUCAAGAGAAUUUUGUAGAUUAUGUGGGUCCUCGUUUGAAUGAUUAGAGUUUUUUUAUGUUGUACUUAAAUGCUAAACAUCUUAGCAAAAUCCAAAAAAAAAUUCAAAUAUGGAGUUAAGUAUUGAUGAACACUGCAUCUCUUUCGACUGCAUGAUAAGGCUACCAACCAUGAGCUUCAACCAUGUCAAGGAGAAAUGGAGGUUGGCAAAAAGAGGCGAUGUUCUGUUGGUGCCUAAAGUAAGCACAUAAAAAUCAAAAUAAGUUUUAGGGUGUUUGGAUUUUAGUCCGGACUAAAAUUCAUGUCACAUCGAAUAUUCGGAGGCUAAUUAGGAGGACUAAAUAUGAGCUAAUUAUAAAACUAAUUACACAGAUGGAGGCUAAUUCCCGAGACAAAUCUAUUAAAUCUAAUUAAUCCAUCAUUAGCACAUGUUUACUGUAGCACCACAUUAUCAAAUCAUGGACUAAUUAGGCUUAAUAAAUUCGUCUCGCAAAUUAACCUCCAUCUGUGCAAUUAAUUUUAUAAUUAGUCUAUAUUUAAUACUCCUAAUUAGUAUCUAAACAUUCAAUGUGAUAGGGAUUUUAGGAGCUCGUAAAGAACCAAACGGCAAACGGGACCUUAGUGUUGCUAAGAAGAAUAGCCCAAUCGUACGCACGUAAGAUACAGUGGAAGGUAGAAACUAGCAAACUCGAACCAGGCGCCCAUGGCUUACGUGCCAACCACACUAAACCCAGAUCAUUUGUUUUGCUUAUUCUGCAUUGCCCUUUUCGUCAAUGGUGGUUUAGUUUAUGUUUGACCCCCAAGGCAAUCAGAAUGGAUUAAGUACCGCAGAUUCAACUGCUCUCUCAGCAACUUUCUCCAAUCAACGCGAUUCCUGAAAUUGCUCGGUAGGCUGCCCACUCCCGCAUUUGGCCUCCCCAGAUAAGAAAUGCUACGGCGAUGCUCGCCAGGAUCAUCUUCUGCGUGGUCGUCGCCGCCGCCGUCCUCGCCGUCGUCCUCCUCGCCACCGUCUCCCCGCUCCCGCACGGAUCCGGCGGCGGCCACAGGGGCGCGACAGGGCAGCGCAGCUUCACGGUGUACGUCCACCCGACGGUAUCGGCAGCCGUGCAAGCGCAGCAGCAGGGGAAAGAAGUGGCGCGGCGAGGAGAAGCGAGCGCGCUGGUGUUCCACCACCGGAUGACGGCGGGCCCGGAGAGCACGUCGAGGACCGUCGGCGCGGCCUCGGGGUUCGUACUGCUCCUGGCCGGCGAGCGGGGCCUGGCGGCGGCGUCGGUGUUCGACACGGUGCACCUGUCGUUCGACGGCGCCGCCGGAUUAUCCGGCAGUCUCUGCGUCGAGGCUUGCAGCCGGAGGCCGGAGAAGCGCGGGCACGACGCGGAGGAGGAGGUUCUGCAAGUGGUGGGCGGCACGGGCGCGUUUGCGUUCGCACGCGGGCAUGCCGUCCUUCGUAGGCAGCGGCCCGGCCAUGGCGUCACGGCAGCGGCGCUGUGUCUUGAUAUCAGUGUUUUCUCUGCAGCGAGUUGAUCUGCAAAGUGUGAGCGAUCGUUCAUCAAACAGAUCGCGCGAUCGAUAUGUUGAUCCAAGUUUUGCCUUUUUCUUUUGAUUUGUGAUGUGAAUUCGCACGUAUUUUUGUUUAGAGAGAACGUAGCUUUGAUGCUGUCACGAAAGUUUCACAAAUGUAUAUGCAUCGUCGAACGUUUCCAGGAUGCGUCCCUUCAAUUUUUUUGGGUGGAGUUCUUGCUUCGCCUCCGCCGUUCAAAAAAUCUAAUAAAGCCUUUUCCAGUAACGACGAUUGCUGCUAAGCCAGAGGCCCACAAUAUCUUGGACUCACGUCCAGCCCACGAACCAACCACGGCCCAAUCGGCGCCGAUCCCGCAUUCGGUACAGCCCCCAGUCUGCUUCCUCCGCCGCUUCCGGCCGAUGCCAUUGGCUCUCGCCGCUGCAUCGGCAGCCCGGCCGCGCCGCACGCACGGCGCGGGGCCGAACGCCUGAACUAGCAGCGCUGCCGCAGAGGCACGCGCCUGAAGAAAGCAAGCACUCACUCACAUGGCGUCUCCAACUCCGCCGUGGAAGGUACGCGGCCGUCUCAACUCCGAACUCAUCUGAAUCUCACCUCACGGCUGACGCGUUAGAAACUUAAACCAUAGCACGCUUCUGAAACUGAAGUCCAGCUAGUGCAGACGCAACACUACUAUGGUCUGCAAUUCUAUUUCGUUUGUAUAAGCUAUCCAAAUGUCAUUUCAUAGCGAUGAUAUGACCGUGCUUAGUGUUUUCUAUUCGAAAUUUCACUCUUGUAACUCGCGUGUUCAACCCCCGUGCUCUCCUACAGUUGUACGAACAUGUCAACUGGAUAUUGGCAUUUCGAGUUUUCUAUUGGUUAAUCCAUUAUCAUCCUCACCACCAGCUUCAAGCGCACCAUCGCGUUGAACUCUUCGCGCAAGAUAAUUUAGGACCAUUCAGUGUUUGCGUUCAUUAAUGGAGUAAUAAGGAAAAAAACAGGACUUCUGUUUUCCGAGCAUUGCAACUGCAGAUUUGUAUGACUCACAAACUAUUCUUGCAUUUGGCAGCUAACUAUUCAUUCUUUUCCAUUGACUACGAAGUAUGACUAAAUGAACAGAUUACAGAUGCUGAACUGGGAUUGUUUUUCAUUCCACAGCAAGUUUCGUCGGCAUCGUCUAAUGCAUAGAGACUACGAACAAAAAUCAGAUACUUGUAAGUUUUAUUGACAUCACGUAGUACAUACAAACUACAAACCAAAAUCAGCUACAUAUAAUAGUGUAAGUUUUAGUAACCUCGGGAGCGAGGUUGCGACCCCUGGUGCAAGGUCGAAAGGCGUGGAAGCGUUGAAGCGGUCGAGGCGGGAUUUGCGGAGCCUGUGAGAGUGCAAUUUGCGGAGCUAUCGGGCAGCGUGAGAAGCGUAAUCCCCAAAUGACAUGCAUGUAAAGCAUAUUCCAGGAAUAUAGUGGUUGGAUAGAGGUAAAUGUGUAAUGUAGAGUGCCCCUCGAGACACUAUAAAAGGGGAGUCCCACCCCAUUGUAAAUUUUACGCUCAUUCUCAUGCGAGUAAGAAUACAAGAACAAACCACGCUUUGUUGUGUUGAACCUUGAGCGAGGUUAAGAUACAACAUUGGUGCCCACCGUGUUUUGAGCUGCUAAGAAACCCACGAUGCCACCACAGAAGAAGAAGAGAACCACCGAAGAUGAAGCUGCGGAAGAAAGGCAGCUUAUCUGAUUUGCCCUAGUUGAGCCAAGUAUCACUGAUAAGAAAGAAAGAAAGGCUUAAAAGAGUCGAGGCAAGCCUAAGAACGAGAUCGCAGAAGGCAAGAGUUGAACAAGGAACCUCAAAUCAAACCCCACAACCAGAAAGCACACAGGACGACCCACUCAGUGAAACAGAAGAAGAGCUAGCUUCGGCGCUGAAACAGCUAGAGGCACUAAAAAGGAAGAAGGAAAGGUUCACUCAAGAGUUACAAGCUCAGAGGAUGGCAGCCAACAAACUUGCAAGACUAAACGAAGCUAAGAGGCAACUGGCAGAGCUACAACAAGAACUAAGUGAACUAGAGUACCUGCGUAACACAUCGCAACAGCCACAACCACCACCACUUCAAACUUGUAAUGUCAACACUACACCUUUGAUAUUCACAAACCCUAGCUUCCGCGCACACAACUCUCCACCAACAACGAAUGUGUAUGCAACCAGUGACAAGAAUUCUUUGCUGUCUGUCGGCUUACAAACAGCCCUAUGGCAUGCAACCUACAAGUUAGUAGCCUUACCCAAGUUCAAUGGUCAAACAGAUCCAUGCCAAUUCCUAAUGAGCUACGAAGCUGCGGUAGCCUCAGCCGGAGGAGACGACGUCGUACUGGCAAAGACAUUCAUCAUCGUGUGUGAAGGAGCAGUGUUGAAUUGGUAUUCAUUGCUCCCACCACAAUCAGUCUACAGUUGGAUCGACCUGAAAAUGAAGCUAACCCAAAAUUUCCAAGGCUUUCAUCAAGUUGUGACCGACGAAGGAGAUCUCUUUCACUGCAUGGAAAGGGACAAAGAGCCCCUAGAAAGUUAUGUAAAAAGGUUUGUCCAGCUCAUGUCACAAACACCGGACGUGGCGGACAGUGUCGCAAUAUCGGCCUGCAUCUUGGGACUCAACCUGGGUCCAACAGCAUCGAAGCUAACAAGAAAAAAACCGAAGACGAUGGAAGCCAUGUUCGCGGAGCUAGAGAAGUACUGUAGGUCAGAUGAGAACCACAGAAGAAGGGUGGCGGAGAGAAAUCGCCAAAGGCAAUAUGAGAAGGGCAGAAACUGGCAAGCUUUGCCCUACAAUCACCAGCAGCAUCACAACCGACACCAAGCCUAGCAAGUAAUGGCGAUCGAAGGCAAUCAAUCCUCGCACCAAAACCAAAACCAUAACCACAACCAAAACCAAAAUCAAUACAACAAAAAUUAGCCUAACUUCGGCAGUGGUCAAAGAGGUGGCCACACAGGAAGAGGAAGAGGCCGAGGCAACAACCCUCCGAGGCCAAACAAGUAUGACUUCUGAUCCGUAGACCAAAAAGUAGGGCGAUUGCCCCAUAGGCUUGCACGGUUGAGUAUGUAGCCCCCAGAGAACGUUGGGUAGUUCUUUGAGCCACUUGCCUCCUUUGGUGUUGCGAAUGUCGUGGAGUCCUUUCUUGAGAGCCUCCAAUAGCAUCCCGUUGGUGCACUCAACUUGGCCAUUGGCUCUUGGAUAAGCGACAGAGACGUAACAGACGUCAAUUCCACUGUUUUCACAGUACUCCCAGAACUCGUGUUUGUUGAAAUUGGAACCUAGAUCUGUGAUGAUCCGGUUUGGGAAUCUGUAGCGGUGGACAAUCUCGUCGAGGAAGUCGAGUACUUUGUCUGCCUUGGGGCAGGUGACAAGCUUUACUUCAAUCCACUUGGUGAACUUGUUGAUGGCUACUAGUACUCGAUUGAAUCCUCAAGGAGCCGUUGGAAGUGGUCUGACAUGUCGAGCUCCCAGCAUGCAAAGGGCCAUGUUGGAGGUAUCGUGAUGAACUUGUAGGCAGAGAUGUGUUGUUGCUUUGCAAAGAAUUGACAACCUUGGCAUCAACGGACUAGUUCCUCUGCAUCGGCUAGGGCGGUAGGCUAGUAGAACACUGCUCUGAAGGCUUUGUCCACUAUUGUGCGUGAAGAUGCGUGGUUGCCGUAGAUCCCUUUGUGUAUUUCUUCCAAUAUGUCCUUGCCGUCUUCUCGUGUGAUGCAUUUCAUGAGUACUCUUGAAGAUGCGCCUCUUCUAUAUAACUUGUCUCCGAUGAGCACAUAGCUUUUACUCCGUCGUAAGACUUGUUCUGCCUGCAUCUUGUCUGAGGGUAGUUUCUGCUCUUUGAUGUAGUCGAUGAAUGGAGUUCUCCAGUCCACAUCAAUCAUCAUAACCUCCCGAUCUGGUUCCACAGGACCGUGAUCGGUGGUUGUUGAGGAUGCCUGCUCCGUAAUGGAUGGCUUGCGGAGUUCGUGGACAAAGACCCCUACUGGGACUUGAGCAUGUGUCGAACCCAUCUUUGACAAGACGUCUGCGGCUACAUUGUUGUCACGGGCAACAUGGUGGAACUCUAAGCCUGAAAAUUUGUUUUCCAGCUUGUGGACUUCUUUACAGUAAGCAUCCAUGUUCUCCUUGUUGCGGUCCCACUCAUCGUUGACUUGAUUUAUAACUACUAGCGAGUCGUCGUAGACUAGUAAUCUCUUAAUGCCCAAGGAUACUGCUAGGCAUAGCCCGUGUAGUAGUGCUUCGUACUUGGCUUUGUUGUUGGAUGUUGGAUGCCUCCAAAAAGAAUUGAAGAACAUAUUUAAGUUGUUCACCUUUGGGGAAUAUUAAGAGUACUCUUGCACCAGCGCCUUCAAGCUUGAGUGACCCCGUCAAAGUACAUGACCCAAUGCUCUGGGCGUUCUACUGGCGUUGGUAGUCGAUUCUCUCUUCACUCUGCCAUGAAAUCAACUAGAGCUUGGGAUUUGAUCACGGUUCUUGGCCUGAAUUCCAGGGAUAAAGCUUCGAGUUCUACUGCCCAUUUUGAGAUUGUUCCCGUAGCAUCUCGAUUGUGGAGAAUUCUGCCCAGGGAGAAAUCACUGAUUACGUAGAUCUUGUGUUCCUGGAAGUAGUGUCGUAAUUUUCGCGAUGUGAGUAGUAUGGCAUAAAGUAGUUUUUGGACCGGUGGGUACCGAGUCUUGGAGUCUGAGAGUACUUCACGAACGAAAUAGACUAGCCUUUGAACUUUGUAUAUGUGGCCUGGCUCAGACCUCUCGACUACUAUUGCCGUGCUUAUGACAUGAGUAGUUGUAGUGAUGUAUAGCAGCAAGUUCUCGUUUGGAGUUGGUGCUGUUAGGAUCGAUGGCUUUGACAACAAAUCUUUCAGCUGCAGCAAAGCCUUAUCCGCCCCUCUGUCCACUGGAACUUAUCUUGCCGCUUGAGUAGUUUGAAGAAAGGGAGGCCUCGUUCUCAGAGCCUUGAAAUGAAUCUGUUGAGAGUCGUCAUGCAACUUGUCAGCUUCUGAACGUCCUUGAUGCCGGAUGGAGCUUGCAUGUUGGUGAUGGCAAUGAUUUUCUCAGGGUUUGCUUCAAUGCCUCUGUGGCUAAUGAUGAACCCGAGUAGUUUUCCUGAUGGUACGCCAAAGACGCACUUCGUAGGGUUGAGUUUCCACCGAAAUGUUUGCAGGUUGUUGAAAGUUUCUUCCAAGCCUACAAUGAGAUUGUCUAGAUUUCUGGUUUUGACUAACACGUCAUCCACGUACGCCUCCACAUUGCGCUGUAAUUAUUUUUUGAAACAAAUCUAAAUCGCGCGUUGAUAGGUGGCGCCUGCGUUCUUCAACCCAAAGGAAUUGUUGUGUAGUAGAAAGCUCCGUAAGGGGUGAUAAACGCAGUCUUGGCUUGAUCUUCUUCCUUGAGAGCUAUCUGGUGGUAUCCCAAUUAGCAGUCCAGGAAAUAGAGUAAGGCGCAUCCAGCUGUAGAAUUGACGACUUGAUCAAUCCUUGGGAGUCCGAAGGGAUCCUUUGGACAGUGCUUGUUAAGGUCGGUGUAGUCUACACACAUCCUCCAUUUAUUGUUGUUCUUCUUACGGACCAGGACUAGGUUGGCAAGCCACUCAGGAUGGAAGACUUCUUUGAUGAAGCCCGCCGCGAGUAGUUUUUCUAGCUCUUUCUUGAUGGCUUCCCUCCUAUCCUGGGUGAAUCUACAUAGUCGCUGUCUCUUUGGGGGUAGCUUUAGGAUCUACGGUGAGUGAGUGCUCGAUCAACUCCUUGGGCACACCUGGUAUAUCUGCCGGUUUCCAUGCGAAAAUGUCCCGGUUGGCCCGAAGGAAACUGAGAGCGUGCUUUCCUAUUUGGCAUCCAGCCCUAUGCCAAUCAGGGUGAUCUUGGAAGAGUCAUCGGUCUCAAGGUCGAUGGCUUCAAAGUCCACGUCACUUGUCGGCUUGACUUUAGUAGCUCCUGAUUUGUUCUCUGGAAUUUCGAGUUCUGCCGGGGUGAGUUUCUUCGAAGCGGUGAAGACUUGUUGCAUUGAGCUGGGUACUUGAGUAGUCGCCGCCAACUCAACAGCUUUUGUAUCACAUUCGUAUGACCUUCGCAAGUCUCCACGGAGCGAGAGUACUCCCUUGGGUCCUGGCAUCUUCAGUAGUAGGUAAACAUAGUGUGGGAUGGCCAUGAACUUGGCCAAUGCUGGUCUUCCGAGGAUAGCGUGAUAAGAAGUCUCAAAAUCCACCACCUCAAAUUGGAUGUACUCUGUAAGAUAGUGCUCUUUUAUCCCAAAGGUAACUGGUAAGACUAAUUGACCGAGCGGUACAGCAGCGUUGCCCGGGACAAUCCCAUAGAACGGGAAGUUCGUUGGGGUGAGCAUUUUAGUGAUGUCAAGGCCCACCUUCUUUAGAGUCUUGGCGAAAGUGACAUUAAGGCCACUGUCGCCGUCAAUGAGUACUUUGGUGAGUCUUGAGCUGACGACAACCGGGUCUAGGACAAGGGGGAACCAUCCUGUUCUGAAAAACUUAUCCAUUGGUCCUUCCUGGAGAAGGUUAUCUGUACCUCAGACCAUUUGAGGGGUGUAAGAGUAGCGGGCUCAAUGGACAUGAUCUCUCUGAGUACUAGUUUCUAGGACCAUUUAGAGGCAGUGCCUAGGAUUCCACCAAAGAUGACGUUGACGGUCUUGGAUGGAGUCUGGAACUUGUCUUUGCCAUCUUCGCCUUCAUCUACUUUGGCCUUUCCCUUGUCAUUGGUACUCGGAGGUUCUGGCAAGCCUUGCAUUACCCUGCGCAGGCUGUAGCAAUAUAUUGCGGCAUGCUUGCUGUGCGGGUGCCAUGGGCACUACUUUUUUAGUAACUCGUUGAAUGCGGCCUUGUCUUCUUGUUUGUUAGAUCCUUUCUUAUUUGAGCGAGACAUUGCCGUGACGGUGUUGUCGAGCUUGCGUUUUCGAUUUUGAUUUCCCGAGUAGUUAUUUCGGUGAUGGUCGUUGCGGUUUCUACCUUGAUCCUGACCAUUGCUCUGAUUGUUGUUGUCACGGCCACGGUUGCGAUUUGAUUCAAACCUUUUGUGUUCUUUAUCUUCUUCAUUUGCCCAAGAUUGAGCCUUCAUCUUAAGUGCUUUGACAUUCGUGGGGUGACGCCUUCCGAAGUCUUGGAACAUACGGCGGAUAUAGAGAUCAUUCUGGAAGCAGUCUAUUACGUCUAGCUCUGAGAUGUCUACAAUUGUAGCCUUUUUGUCAACGAAACGACAUAGAUAGCUACAUAGUGAUUCAUCCCGGUGUUGCUUGACUUGUGCCAAGUCGAUUUUGUUGCCGGGGUGCUGCAUUGCCCCCGCGUAGUUGCUGGUGAAUGGUUUCUUCAAGUCUUGCCGGGAGUCAAUGGUACCAGGCUUUAGGGACUCAAGCCAGGUCAAUGGUGGGGUUUCCAUGCAUAUGGGAAAGUAGAUGACCUUGGUAUUAUCAGUAUAGCCUGCAGCUUGGACCGCUAACGAGUAGCAACGGAGCCAUUGAACUGAAUCUUGCUUGCCGUCGUAUUUGGAGAUACCUAGAGGUUUGAAUUUCUCUGGUAGGAUGGUACUUCUAACCCGACUUGUAAAGGUAGGGAACUGGUCGUUGUCAUCACCCCUGUAGUCUUCUUCAACUUCUCGUUCGCGACGCAAAUUGUUGAUGAUGUUGUGUGCAUCACGGUUCUCGUUGAUUUCGUGUCGGAGGUCCUCAACAUUGCGUGGGGGUUCAGGAUCAGCUCUGUGGUGGUGACGGCCUCCCGUAGAGCCUGUUUGACUACCUUCGGGUAAAUCUCUGUUUUGCCUUGGGGCCUCGAGUAUGUUGCGAUCCUGCCGUGAGCUUUCGGGUACAUUGCGGUUUUGCCGCGGUCCCUCGAGUGCACCGCCAUUUUGACAUGGUGGCUCGAUUGCACCAUGGUUCUAUCUCGCGUUUUCAUAUUGCUGAGCUGAAGGACCUGCAUGACCUGCACGGGGUGGAAGAUACUGACGGGAUCAGACUCUACUUGUCUAGUAGCUUGUAAGCGCGCUCCGCCAGCUAUGAUAAUACUUCAAUGUACUUGUCCUGAGGCAGGGCCCGAGUGAUGAGGUCGAUCAAGGCAAUUGUGGUGAGUGGCGUAUUGUGUUGCCGUGUCUGCACUGCUUCAAAUGCUCCGUCGAGGUUUAUAAUUGGGAGCCGUGCGGCUAGUCGUUGAUGUCGUUCCGCUCUCUACGCGUUUCUUGCUCAUCACCAAGAUCCUUGGCCUUCAGUUUCCUCCGCAGGAGCGUUGGAGGAGAGUUCAUCUUGUGAAACAUCAUCUAGGUGACGCUCUUGUUGAGGGGUUCUUUCUGGUUGGCGUUGAUCGCCACCAUCUUCUCCGUUUGCGGUAACAACAAAGAGUUGUCUUUCUGGAGAAUAGCUACUAGAGCUUGAGGUGAUGACUUUAGUAGAGGUGUCAUCUUCAUAGAUUGGUGAUAACGGUGUUCCCUCUUGGUAUGGUAGAAUCUCCAGGUUGGUGAUGAGGCGUGACUCGUUAUCCUGGUCGAGGAAGGAUGGCUUCAUGCCCGGCCAGUAGACGAAUCUGCCUUGCGGUGUCGAAGUGAUUACCAGGCCCUGUUGCGGACCUAAUAGAGGAAUUUCCUCGACGGAAUCCGAGUAGUAGUCGAGGUCGUGGUCCUCUACUGACUCCAAUCCAGACUGUGUCUUGGAUAGAAUUGCUUGAUGAACCAGGGCUGCUUUUCAGAGUCCGAACGAGAAUUGGCUCGAAGUUGUAUCCGGUCUGCACGACGGCUGGAUUGUCUACUCGUGGGAGCCGGUCCGAGUUGUUGUGGAGUUCGAGUUGUACUCGAGCUCAUUGCUUGUCAGAUUGAAAAAUUUGUUGAAUUUCUUGACGAAAUCCUCCGUAGCUUGUCGACGAAGGGUGAUGUCAAGGUGCUUCUUCUCCGGAGCCUCCGCGAUGUAGCGGUGGAAGCUUCCAGCGUUGUUGGCGAUGCAAACCCAGGAGCCGAAGACGAACAUCGUGCCAGCUUCGAACGCGAUCCUAAGCUUAAUGAUGACUUGAGCCAUCGAACACACAUGGAGAAAUUUGGCGACUUCUCCUACCUGGCAUGCUAGCUGUCGGUGUAUACCCGGCAACCUACCACGGGAGUAUCUGGGGUAGAGUUUUGGUUGGUGGGUGUCGUCAAAUUUAGGAACUCGAUGAUUACGUAGGCACGUGAUUUAGACAGGUCCGGGCCACUAGAUCGCGUAAUACCCUACGUCCUGGGUGUUGUUUGCUUGUAUUGGAUUGAACUUAUUUUGAGGGGGUCCCUGCCCGCCCUUAUAUAUUAGGGGAGUAGGGUUACAAGCCAGUUAAAAUACAAGAGUACUAGUUGGAUUCGGCUAGAGAGUCCUACUCCAACUAGAAAGAGUAGUUUCCUUUGUCUCCGACUAGUUCUUGGAGUCCAUGUAGUCUACGCGGUUCUGUGCCGUAGUCUCCAUGUCCUGAUAUGUCUCGGUGUACUUCUCUGCAUGUGGAUCCGUACAGACCUUCUGGUGGGCCCAUGGAUGUAUACUCAACAAGUGGCACCCACACCCUCACCUUCACCCUCAGCUUCAUCAGCCUCGGAAGUCGGAUCAGAGGAACCACUGCUCAAUGAACCCUUGUCAGCAAAGGUUAACCUCGAGGCCUUGGUAACAGCCUUGUCUAAGUCCUGCUCCUCUGAAACUUGCUCAAUAUCAACUUGUUCGGACUAGUUAGCCUGCUCAGCUUCGUUGCGAAGCCUAGCUUCUGUAGCAAACUCCUUUGCAGACAUGGGUCUAGCGGUCUGGAUGAUGCAAGCCAGCUACUAAAAUUGAAACAACACCUUAAAAAUGAAACACGCAAAAAAUAUUCACAACUAAAAAGAGAAACAAGUAACCUCGCUACCUUCCAGAUGCUCAAGGUCAACGAUGCUAGCAUGCAGCGCCCAACUUAUCCAAAGUGUGCAAGCAGUGAGCGGGAAGCAAUGGCGCAUGAGUCUUAACCUCGCGGAUGCAGGUGAAAGCGACCCCCCACCCCUCCUUUUAUAGGCGCGGUAAAAAGGAGCGAGACGGCGCCAGUAACCGCGCGCCGAAUACGAAAGGUCAUUCAAUAGCCGACUGACACGUCACUCCAAAAAAGGUAAUCGUUGGCUCGUUUCGAACCGAUGCUCGAGGGUGACAUUUUUGGGAAGAGAUCUUUGAUUCGUGGGUUCGGUCGUCGGUGUCUAACCUCGCCCACGAGGGGCUGCUAUUGGGGAUCGCCCAAAAAGACGGUCACCCUCGAGCGCGUUCAAAUCAUCGCCUUUCUGCACAGCUCUGCGUUUUGCUUAACCUCGGGUAAAACCCCUGAGUUUCAGGCAGCAAAUACAAUGCGAGGAGGCAGUUUCGGCCCGAAGCCAAGAGGCAUUAACCGUUCUCUAAGCUAACAGAUCCUAACCUCGAGCGCUCUAAGCUAACCUCGAGUACCGAGUUGUUGGUUGUCUCGUGCAGGAUCGCUUCCUUUUGGCGGGGAGUAAAACUUGAAGUUGAACGUAGCCUGGUCGCGAAGCCUAUGCGAGCUGGAUCCCUGAAGCUGAGUAACCUCGAGAGCGAGGUCGUGACCCUUGAUGCGAGGUUGAAAGGCGUGGAAGCAUUAAAGCGGUCAAGACGGGAUUCGUGGAGCCUUGUGAGAGCGCAAUUUGCGGAGCUGUCGGGCAGCGUGAGAAGCGUGAUCCCCAAAUGACAUGCAUGUAAAGCAUAUUCCAGGAAUGUAGUGGUUGUAUAGGAGUAAAUGUGUAAUGUAGAGUGCCCCUCGAGACACUAUAAAGAGGAGCCCCACCUCAUUGUAAAUUUUACGCUUAUUCUCAUGGGAAGUAAGAAUACAAGAACAAACUACGCUUGUUGUGUUGAACCUUGAGCGAGGUUAAGGUACAACAAUCAGCGCAGCACUGUGCUACCAAAAGCUGUUGGUGUCGCGGUACGAAGGUUUGGCAGUAGUAUUGAGGUGUAUGAAGGUUUGGUAGCAAUAUUGAGAUCCCAUUCCAAUUAGAGUUGCUCUAUGUCGAUUUGGAUUGUCAAAUUGUGAGUUAUCUUGGUGUUGGCAUCCGUUAGGGGUACUGUUGUUGCUUUGUUAUACCUAUUCUGAAAUUAUUUUUUUUAAUAUAAUCGGCAGAUCUCUAAUCGUUUGUUUAAAAAACAAGCAGAUUGGAGGGGCACGGUAAAAUGCGCGCAUAAAGUUUUGGUCACCCACCAAGCAAAGAGAAGUGGGAGUGCAGCCAAUGGCUGACAUACAGUUGGUUGGUCGUGGUUGUCAGAUAGGCUAGAAAAUGGAUCACCCAUAGCAGAUUGAGUGCUUCUGCAACAAUUCAGGCUUUGUGCAAUGAGCAACCAACACACACUUCAAGGUACAGGGGAAGAUGACGAGACCAACGAAUGUACUGGCCAGAUGUCAUGUUCAGAACACAAGCUUUGUCAUGUAGGGCUGUAGGCUAUUCCCGGUGAGCCUGGCAAGAUUGGCACGUGUACUGCAAUCUGAUGAAACCCUGACAGGUCCGGUGUUGACGACUGUCCUUUGUAUAGCAUCCAUGUAACAUGUCAAACGGAGCAGUAGCAGACAAUUGGACAUGCACGGAAUGGAGUGGUAGAAACGAGCGGAACCAAAACCUGCCUUGCUACAUUACAAACCGCCUCCUACAUUACAGACAAUGCACACGGAUCCUUAGCCCUCUCAUGCCGGCACGGAAGGCCAUGGCAAUAUGGUGCCUUUCAGUUUCAGGUCCACGGAUCAGAGAUGAAAAUGUGCAGGACCUGAGAUCUUGGAUCUCUCCAACAGUUAAGAAUCAGGAACUUCUCAGACAUUCUCAAUUCCAUUGCUGCUGAUUCCCAAUCGGUUGGUUUGCGAUUGCUUGAAAUUUUUCGUGCUUUCUGAAGCUAGCACCAGAGGAUACCGACGAGUCCUGCAACUGAACGUAUGGGCUACGGGCUCAUCCCGAUCCUGGAUGCCCUGGACGCCACCACAUUGCGCGCGUGCGAGUCGCACACCUGCGUGCUGAACUUGCACCCGUGCCGCGCCCUCCACCCGCCGACCGCGGGCCCGGACAAAUCGCCGCCGUCCGCGCUGCGACCUCCGGGCGACCGGCCGCCGCUGCCGCUGCCGCUGCUGCCGUCGAUCUUCUUGAUGGCCCUGCGCAUGCUGGAGCACUCGCGCUCCAGCUCCUGCACCCGGCUCGCCACGCUGUCCAUGUCCAACCGCAGCACCUGGCUCUCCUGCGCCAGUACCGUCGCGCCCCGCCACUCGCCGGAGACCGGGCGCUGCUGCCGCAUCGCGCGCGGAGGCACGGCGCUGGCGCCGGCGGGGGCGAGCAGCGUGCCCGUGAUGGCGCGGCGGAGCUGUAGCUGCUCGAAGAAGAGCACCUGAAGCACGGCGCGCAGCGGGAGGCGCUCGUUCUGCGCCGCGUGCGUGCACGCCUCCACCGUCAGCUUCCGGCAGUCCACCACGCCCACCACCCUGUCCCGCUCCUCCGCCGUCAGCCGUGGGUGCGCCUGCACACCAAAUCACCCAAAAAGGAGAUGAGAUCUUUGGCAGCGACACCUCGAAAGGAGCCAUCUUUUCUUUGUCCUUUUAACGUGGACGACAUGCUGCUGGCCUGCUACAUACUGCGUGGUGACCUGUCAGCGCGCGCGCGUACCUUGAGGUAGAUGUCGACGGCGCGGUAGACGCCGUCGUUGUAGAUGCGGGCGUGGUCGGGCAACGACAGCGCGAGCUCGCAGAACUUGGCCGGCUUCAGGUUGGCGUCGGACGCGACCUCGGCGAGGUAGCUGUCCACCAGCUUGCCCACUUGCACCAUAGCCACGGCGGACGGCCGCGACACCUCGGCGCCGGCCUCCUCCUCGACCUCGAUCGCCGCCGAAGACGACGCGAAGCCGCCGAUCUCCUCCUCGGCGAGGAAGUACCCGACGAUCCGCUCGACGCAGUCGACGUCGUAGAGCGUCUCCGCGGCGCCGGAGUAGCUCGGGAUGAGCACGUCCUCCAGCGUGGCCUGCUCCAGCUGCGUGGCGGCCUUCCGCUCCAGCGCCGCGCGCGCCGCGUCCGAGGCGCGCAGGAUGUGCGCCGUCCGGAGCAGCGCGAACAGGAACUUGGCGGUGACCACGCGCCCGGAGCACCUGUCGGCGGGGAGGCUCGCGACCACCGCCUCCAGGAGCUCCUUCUGCUCCACCUCCGACGACACGGGCGCGGACGCGAGGCGCCGGCGCAUGGACCUGGACAACCCCGGGAUGGUUCCCCUAGCGUAGGACACGAGGCAGCUCUCCCGGGCCUCCGCCCUGACGUCGUCGCGCGCGGCCAUGGCCGCCAUAACCCGCUUGUACAUGCGCAAGCCGAGCACGGCCAGGUCGUCGAACCAGGACCGCGACGUGGCCGACGAGCGCGCGGCAAUGGCCUCGACGCAGCGGGCCACAAUGCCGAGCUCCUCGGCGAGCGGCAGCAGCUCCUCGCAGGACUUGAGCGCCUUGGUGGCGUCGCCGGGGUGCUGGAGCACGGUCUUGUCCAGGUAGGCCUCCGCGCGCGCCGCGAGGUUGUCCUCGGCGUGGUCCUCCGUCAUCUCCAAGUACUCGGCGGCGCACCGCAGCGGCGCGACGUUCCAGGCGGUGAGGUCGACGCGGACGCCGUAGCAGAACUUGGCCGCCGCCUCGAACGUGCCCGGCCCGCCCGGGAAAUCCGGGAACGCAAUGCUGUACACCUGCCCGUCGUCCUCCCUCCUAACCUGCUGCUCCUCGGCCCCCUCCUCCUCCUCAUCGUCGGCUUCCUCAAUCUCCGUUUCCGCAGCACCGUCAUCGCCGGAAUCGCCUCCGUCACUACUCCUCCGCCGCCGCCGUCCCCGCGCCGGACGCUGCUCCUCUUGCUCGGUGAGCAUGCGGUGGAUCUUCCGGCUCUUGGCCAUGAGCGGGAACUGCGCGCCGCAAAAGCCUCAGCGAAAUUUCAUCGAGCACAACGCAUUGUAACACAAAAUUCCCCAAGAAACAGAGCAGAGACGGAGCGUACCUUGUGGAGGUGGAAGGUCAUGUCAUGCACCUCGAAGACGACGUCGCUGGGCAGCCCGGUGGUGCAGAACCUAUCGCGAAACGGAGAACCCAUCAAGAAAGCACACGGAAGCAAGCGCAAUCCCGCAUCAAACCACCGCAAUUCAAGUACUAUCCGAGCAGCCGAUGGCUACUCACCAUGCCUGGGCCCUCGACGAGCCGUGCCGUACCGACGCCGACAUGGCCGCUGCUGCCCUGCCCUCUACGCUCCGUCAAACUACGAUCCGGGAGAAGAGGAAGAAGGGAGAAGACGAAGGCAUCUACUGCAUCCACCCCGUCGCUCGUCGCCGUAUGAUUUGGGGCGGCCGGACGGGUAGGUGUGGCGAUUCAGGGCGCCUACCUGGCGAAAUUAAAUCGGCAUCAGAAUCCCACUCCUCCCCAGUGCCAGCAGCAGGAAGUUAUUGCUGGGGAUAAACAAGGGAGGAGGACAGCCAGCCGAUGACAUGUAUGGAAAGCUACGUCUCGUUGCCGCCCUCGUGGUUUAGUUAGAUAUCUUCGCUCAUCGUUGAUCCGCCGUUGGCUGCCGCCGCUUAUCUACUGCCUUUUUUUUGCUUGUGUUCUCUCGGCUGGGGAGGAGGGUGAUGAGGUGUGCGCUAACCACUCCAUGUCAGGGGUAAGCGCGGGAGGAAACAGGAAACCACCAUUGGUGGGGGCCAGUAAAAGAUCGUUUGGAAACGCUUGGAAAGUUCUUGGGGGUAGACUUGCACCUGCAGACCUGCUUGCGCUGCCGGUCUAGGCCUCCUCUAGCUCUAGGGUCUACGGCUUGGAUUUGGACAGCAAAGACAAGUGUAAAGGGAAAAGGAAAUGAGAGAGGAGGAAAAGGCAGGGCGGCUCUUUCUUGCGUCAACCAACACCCAAUAAGGGGCUGUUUGGAUACGAGGUGCUAAACUUUAACAGUGUCACAUCGGAUAUUCGGAUGCUAAUUAAGAGGACUAAACAUGAGCUAAUUAUAAAACUAAUUGCAGAACCUUGUGCUAAUUCGUGAGACGAAUCUACUAAGCAUAAUUAAUCCAUCAUUAGCAAAUGGUUACUGUAGCACCACAUUGUCAAAUCAUGGACUAAUUAGACUUAAUAGAUUCGUCUCGCGAAUUAUACUCCAUCUGUGCAAUUAGUUUUGUAAUUAGCUUAUGUUUAGUAUUCCUAAUUAGCAUCCAAACAUUCGAUGUGACAGGUGUUAAAUUUUAAUAGGGUGUUCCCAAACACCCCCUAAAGCUUUGUAAAAGGAAGGAGGUGGAAAGAGAUGUGGAUGCCGAAACAAUUUGCAGCAACGAUCCAUCAAUGUACGGCGAAGCCGAAAAAUGAACAGAACCCAUGCAGCAAAAUUCUAUUUGGCGGGGGCAAAGCUUUCACCUGCGUCAGGUACCUGAAGCAAGCUGCAAACAGAACCCAUGCACGCCUCAGCGGAAUUUCAUCGAGCACAACGCAUUGGAACACAAAAUUCCCCGAGAAAGCACGCAGGUGCAGUUGUUCAUUUGCAGCAACGAUCCAUCAAUGGACGGCGAAGCCGAAAAAUGAACAACCCGCCGGCCGUGGCGCGCGUCCACCCGCAAACAGAACCAUCAGGAGUCUGUGCAUGUUAGGUGCUGAGGGCAGACUGGCGAGCAAUCUUAACUGUAAAGCGGAAUACGGCUACCAAUACAGUAAUACGAGUAGUACACCGCACUCCAUGUACAUUUGUUUUUUUACCAAAACUUGUGACCUUUUCCCGCUUUUUUGCUUUCAUUCAGGCGGCCAGAUGGGAACGAACUGUCUGAAACCUGAACGAAACCGUCUCUGCUUUACCGCUGGCCGUUUCGUUUUCUCGCCGACGUCUCCCUUUUCACGGUCGUUUUCCAGCCAGCCCUGCGCCCCCGGCACGAGCGACAUGCCGUGGCAACGGCGCGCACGCGCAUUCAAGAUGAGCGACCGGUCCGCGCCGGGUGGACGCGCGCCACGGCCGGCGGGUUCUGUUUGCAGCUUGCUUCAGGUACCCGACGGAGGUGAAAGCUUUGCCCCCGCCAAAUAGCUGCAAAAAAUGAAAAUAUUCGCAGCAGCUGAAACUCUCAAGGACUAGGAGAUGACUGAACUGAAGUACCGUUGCAAUUCUGUGACUGUGAACACACACACACACACACACACACACACACACACACACACACACACACACACACACACACUAUAUGGUCAAAUGCAUUUUGUUGGAUCCAAAUCAGGGAUGAGCUGAUCAACUGAAGGCUGCUACAGCUAGCGCGAAAGAUUGGUCUAGUAAUGGCGAGCUGCCCCAACUGCGUCCCCCGCAGCAGUUUUUUUUUUUGAAACAUUGGCACUUGCAUUUAAGAUUAGAAGAAGAGAGGUUUUAGUUCAACGAUUACAAUCCCCCGCAGCAGUGAAACUACUGUUCCGGCACUAACUGAACAACACUGCUUGUGAUGCAGACGGUCCGUACAGUGAUACGGACCAACCUUCUCGGCCGGGUUCCGGUAUCCAUUAAUUGCUGCUCUGGAUUCUUGUUUCUUGGGAUCAUUUCAGGGCUGCGCAUGAAUUCGCCUGGGGCCCUGGAGUCUUGGACCGCUCGUUGGUUGGCGUGGAUUUUGUCUCUUGUGCUAGCUCUUCGGCGAUCGGCAGCCUAUUCGAUCUGUACCACAGCGACGAUUGUAACAAUGGCGAGGUAGAGGCCAACAAAGGAUGGAGCAUGAGAAGCAGUUUGUGUGAUUGGCUGAUUGUCUCCCCGGACAGCAGGUUUUGAGCUGGCUUGCUUGGUCGCCUGAGUUAAGCUGUCGACCCCAUAAUUGUCCUGCCUCCUAGCCAUGCAUGCUUGCUGGUAUGGGGGGCUCCGGAACGUCUCGUCCCAACCGGCCACGGGCAACGAGGCACAACGUAGGAGUACAGGGUAAACGUCUCGUUACCUUUUGCAGCUACCUGAAUCCGGCCUCCACGCUCUCGAUCCGCUCGUAACCACCGAUAUCGUUUAGAGAGGGACUCGAAACGCCGAGUCGCCGAGGUAGUUGGCCCUUGGCCGUGCUCGACUGCUCGCUGAGCGGAGCCGCCGCACCGGGAGGGAACGCCUGUACACAUGCGGUGGGAUUUGGCCCGGCGAGCGGCGACAGGGGAGAAAAAGAGAAAAGCGUCGAAAGGAUGGGUAACCCACCGCCUGCUUUUCCCAUGCAAAUCUGCCCCCGGAGGGUAGCAGCAGCGUGUUUUCUUCCCCGGCCCGGGCAUGCAUCAUCAUAUUCAUGCGCGCUCUCCUUUUCUGGUGCCACCAUGCACCAACCUUUUCUGUCGCAAUGAUACAAAGGAGCCAGCGGUCGCCGUCGGCUUGGCUUCAACAGGGGAUUGUUUGGUUUGCCCUUACUUAUUUUAGCAUUAAAACUUAUUUAUUUUAAGGAAAUAAAGUUUAGUCCCUUUGUUUGGUUCUAAGGGCUAAACAACAUUUAAUGUUCACUCCUGAUCAUUGGUGCGAGGGGAAGAGAGAGGGAAGCAUACAAGUAAUUAAUGAGGGCAGGAGGUGUCCAUGCUCCAGUUUAACCCCUAUAAGCAACCCUUUGAUGACUUAUGGACUAAUGUUUAUGGCUAAAGUUUAGUCAAAUAAGUAGGAGUGUUUGGAAAUUUAGGAACUAAAAUGGACUAAGGGCAAACCAAACACCCUAAACCGGCAACAUUUUGGCCAGGACCUAACCGACGAAGCUUUGCGCGCGCAUGCGCCGGAUCCCCGGACUGAUGAAGGGCAGCAGCGUGUAUUGCAAGUGAAGGCGAUCGAGAUGGAGCUAAAUAAGCUUGCACUAUAAUCGAUAGUAAGUAGAUUAUUCCACUGUUUGGUGCAGUGUCAUUGUCAUCUAGCCUCGACCUCGAUCGGCAUGUUUGGGUAGAAAGGAGUUGGGUAGCUGCCGGGAACGGAACUACCUGUGCUGUAACUGUAUGCUGCUGACUGCUGUUUAACUACCCAUCACAACGUGACGUCAGAGCUUCUGGCAGCGAUCGGUCGCCUUCUACUAUCUGCAAUCUGCGUAUCCUUUUCACAUUUCAUACCCUACUCGUGCAUUUAUUUCUUCCUUAUUUGACACGUGCAAUCUCUUGAGGAAAUCCUGAACAUUUUAAAAACAUAAGCUCGAAUUCGCAGUACCACCUCAACUUUCAUCCUUCCUUGACCUUAAAAGGAAGGAUGAUUGGUGCGACCUAGCCAAAAUCAACCACGAGGACCAGUGUAACUGUAUGCUGCUGACUGUUGUUUAACUACCCAUCACCACGUGACGUCAAAGCUUCUGGCAGCGACUGGCCGCCUUCUGCUAUCUGCAAUCUGCUUAUCCUCUUCACAUUUCAUGCCCUACUCGUGCAUUUUUUUCUUCCUUAUUUGACACGAGCAAAUCUUUUGAGGAAAUCCUGAACAUUUUAAAAACAUAAACCCGAAUUCGUAGUACCACCUCAACUUUCAUCCUUCCUUGACCUUAAAAGGACGGAUGAUUGGUGCGACCUAGUCAAAAUCAACCACGAGGACCAGCCACCGGGGACGAUGUAGUCUGACAGUUGGCUGCAGCCAAGAACUCUGGAUUUUUCAUCAGAAGCUUUGCUAUCAGUUAACAUACAGGAACAACACUGAGAGACUGCCAGACUCACACGAUUUCAUACCAAGCGCUCAGAUGCGAAGACUGUUAUCAUGAUUGCAGUUUGAUGCUCCUCUAUCCGACAUAGGAUGCUUCAGAUGCGGUUUGCAUUUGGUCUGAACUCUGAAGCACUGGAUAUUGAUAUGGCUAUUGAACGUGUGCUGGCGCGCUGCAAACCUGCAUCGCUUCCCUUAGUGGCACUUGGAUUUCGGCAGUGGCCGGCGAGAUAGCGAAUCGAACAACGACCAUCAUCUCCGGGGCACGUCGGGCGGCGCUAAGAAAAGCUCGAUGCUAAUGGAAGGGAAUAGAGCUCCAGCCAAAGGAGUGACAGACGGGACGCCAUAGAUGAUGUCAAUCAGCUCCGCUAAGUGUGUGUUUGGAUGGAGAAACAAGUGGGACUGGAGAUGACAUCUUUUUUUAGAGAUGAGAUGAUUCCAGUUAGUGUUUGGUUGGAGGGAUAUGGGCGUUCCAAUUUUGUUGUUUUGGUUGGUGGGACGAGGACAAGUGAAAUAAACGGUGUUUGUAUUCCGUUAGCCGCGGCCCACGUGCCAGCCUCCCUUCCCAAUCUUCUUCUUCCUCUGUUAUUUCCUGUUUCCCCCUUCCUCUGUCAAAACUGCCAACCAGUCUUGAAAUUCGACAUCCAUGUUGAAUUCCAACUCAAUCAAUUGCAAUAGAAGCUUCCUUGAUAUCUCGCGAAUCCAUUUUGACUACUCAUUCUCAUAAAUUCAUGGACGGACGAGCCAAAUCAAGGAGGCGCAGCCCGGCCAUGGACGCGCCGCCGCCCCCAGAGCUCCGCUCCCCCUUCCUCCGCCACCCGACCAUGGACGCGCCGCUGCCCCCGGAGCUCCACUCCCCCCUUCCUCCGCCUCCUUCGCCUCCGCGGGCACGACCCCCGGCCUCCUCCCGAGCUCCUGCUCGCCCUCGCCUGGAUGCGCCGCCAGCCACCGCCUCCUGGCCCCGAGCCGCGUUGUGCCCGCCACCCGCCACAGCCGGCCCCUGCGGGCCAAGCCGCCCGACUGCCGCCUAGCGCCGCUACCCAGGCCCGGCCGUCGCCCCUGCGCCGCCGCCCGUCGCCCCACGCGCCUGCCGCUGUGCCCCUGGCCCGCGCCACACCGCCGCCGCCCGCGUCCUUGGUCGGCCGCCGCUACCGCCUGGCCUGGCCGCCGCCGGACAGAGCCAUCCAGGGGCACGCAAGGAGGAACGGAGGGGUGGGCGGGCACGAGGAGACGUGCGGGCGCGAGGAGACGGAGGGAGACGCCGUGCACGGGGGAUGGAUGCGUCCGUGAGUUUUGGAGGGACCGUCUCUCCAUCCCAUCCCGUCUCUUCAUCCAAAUACACCCUAACUGAAGGAGGAGGGCCCGCAGCCGAGCUCCUGGAGAAAUAGGAGGAGCAGGUGGGCGGCGGCCCAAUUUUACCUCCACCGCCACCGCGAAUUCGAAGAGGUUGAGAUCGACGAGGAGAAAUAAGAGACACACUGAACUGUAGGAAACACGCUCAGAUAAGAGAAGGGGCACACUGCCAAAUGAUAUUUCAUUUCAAGAGAGAAAAAAAUAAAAUCACUGGAAGUUAGAAUUGAGACAUUCAUUGAAUACAUCCUUUAGCACAAAACCAAUUCAUUUUCAGCUAGCACAGACAGAUAAGCAUGUACUGUAUCAAAAUUCACCUUAAUUAGCGAUGCAAAGUUGCAAGAAAAGCAAACAGUACCUAACUAAAUUCACCAUCCCUUCUUGUCACAAAAAAGUGCCAAACCCACCAGCUCGUGCCCAGCACAAGCUAGCAGUAAUUGCCAUACCUUCCAUUUUCAGCUAUUCCCAUCAGUAUAUAUUGAGGACGUAUGUGUAUCGAUCCAGCAUGUUGUUCUGGUAAUCCCUCCACCAAUGCAAGAUGGCAUUCUGGCCAAGUGAUACGUCUUAGCGGAACGACGUCGUCGAGGCGCUGGCCCCGAACGUGGCAUCGCCGGGAUACCGGUCGAACAUCUGGGGCCCGUCGCCGGCGCCGGGGCCCAGGAGCAGCGCGUCCGGCGCCGGCUCGUCGGUCACGCGCCACACCUUGAUCGACUUGUCGAGGCUGCCGCUGUACACUAUCCACCGCGACGCCGAGCCCCCUCCGGCCGCGCCGCCGCCGCCGGCGUUGGAUUCGCUGCUGUCGCCGUUGUCCUCGACGACGGCGAUGCACCUGAUGGGCUCGGUGUGACCCGUGAGCACCGAGAGGCAGGAAUGCAUGCCGCCGUCGCGCCGCCACACGAAGAUGGUGUUGUCGGCGGAGCCGCUGAGCAGGAGCGCGCCGGCGGCGGCGAGGCAGAACACGGCCUUCUUGUGGCCGCGGAGCACGCCGCCGUGGACGAGGUGGCGGUCGCCCUCCCAGAAGUUGACGAGCCCGUCGGAGGAUCCGCAGUAGAGCACCGGCGCGACGGCGCUGACGGCGAGCGCGUUCACGGCGUGUUCCUGCUUGAGCAGCGUCUGCACGGCCGAGUGCUUGGUGCUCUUCCCCUGCAACUCCCGCCGCCACACCUUGACCGUGCCGUCCGCCGAGCCCGUGAACACGAGCCCGUCGAACGCCGCCACGACGGCGUUGACGUUGUCAUCGUGCGCCACCACGGACUCGAGGCACUUGGAGUCGUUGAUGCGCCACACCUUGAAGGUUCGGUCCCAGGAGCCCGAGUAGAGCAGGCCCUGCGCCGGCUCCGUUGGGCUCAGGCACGACACGGCGUCGCUGUGCCGGAUCCACAGCGCCGUCCGGUUCUUGCGCACCUCCACGUAGUUGGACGGGUUCAGCGAGCCGCGCAGGAAGUCGCGCAGCCGGGGCAGGCUGCCCACGCGCUUGUGCAGGCCGUUCUUGGGCGACACCUUCCACACCCGGAUCUUGCCGUCCUGGUGCCCGGUGAAGAUGCGCUCGCCGGAGAUGACGAUGGCCUUCACGAGGCCGCUCGAGGACUUGAACCCCCCAGAGUCCUUCUGCUUGCGCCAGACGCGGAUGUUCUUGCUGUCCGAGCCGGUGUAGAGCGUGUCGCCCUUGGCAGCGAGCGAGUAGAUGUGGCCCUCCUCCCUCACCAGCGAGCCGAUGAGGCUCGUCCCGGGCGCCAUGGUGGGCGGGCCGCCGAGGCCGGCGGCGGAGGCCUCGCUGUGGUGCGACCAGGGGGACGCCAUGGUCUGGUUCCAGGGGGACAUGUUGUACGGCGAGCACUCGCCACUGAAGCUGGACGGGUAGUCGGAGUAGUACCCGGGGCUGGCGCCGCCGGUGGCGGAGGAGCUGCUGUUCCGGUUCGACAUCUCAUCGUCCGUAACCCCCGAGAACUGGAGGUUCGGGUCGGAGUGCGGCGCCGGCAGCGGGAGGUUCGACGGGUGCGAGCGCGAGACGCCGCCGCCGGCGCCCUCUCCGUCGCUGUCUCUCAUCUGCUUCUUGCCGGAGGCCGUGGUGGCGGAGCUCCGGUCACGGCGGAUGGGAGAAUUGCGAGGGGAGGGGGAGAGCGGGCCUGUGUAUGCGUGGAUCAGAGGGAGAGGGAGAGGCGAAGAGAAAGUGGCGGGAAGAGAGAAAUCGUUGUGACCGUUAAAGAGGUUGGAGGCGGGGAAGAAAUGGUGGGACCAUCGCCCGCCAAUCGCUCCCUCUCAUCAGUUUAAUUUAGGGAUAGAGACUAUCUUUAGAAAUGGAGCAUAUGAACAUUUGGAGUGUGCGAGCUUGAAUAUUUCACAUCAAGUUGAAAAUAAACUAGUCAGGACAAGGUGCCUGCAUGAAUAGCGCGAUUAGCCUAUUUGUUUUCCCCCCUCUUAUCUCUAUCUAGAUCAAUGUGCCUUUUUAAGAUUCAUGAUGCUUUAUUUAAACAUUUUUCAUGCUUUAUAGUUUAUAGCAUAAUCCCCUUAAUGCAAAAAAAGGCAAAAUAGCUAUAUUGAUCCCUAUAAAGUUCAAGUUCAUCCCUCAACUUUUAGGUCGACCAAUCUAGUCGCUCAACUUUCAUUUUUAUUCAAAUUAAUCCUUAUACUGUAAGAAAAAUCUUUUUUACCCUCGACUCGUUCCCCUCGUCAAUUUCCACAAGAAGCUGCAGUAUCGCCAGGACCAGUACUUCUGAACGGUGAGCCAACGACGAUGCUCCUUAUGCUCUUGUUGGCAGCUCCGCUCGCCUCCUCCUUCUGCCUGCCUCCACGCGGGGCUUCGACUAGUCCGUGCUCGCGCUAUAGUGGCUGGGCACCAUUUUCCGGAGUAGCGCCACCAGCCCUUACUGGUCAUCCAAUUGUUGUUGCCAGUCAGUAGACUUCCUCUCUUCACAAGCUAGUAGCUCAGGUCUGAAAUCCUCACAAUUCCUAAGGCUCUUUUCUCCUUUUGUUUUACUUUUAUCACUGCAAAUCGCAGAGUGUUCAGCAUGCCUCGUACCAUCAUGGCUGAUGUGUUCAUCCAUGUGUAUUUUGAUAUGACCGAUGGGCUCUGGCCAAGUUGUACCCAAGGGAACGGACAGACUUGUUGCAACAAAGCAGGUCUCGAGACAUGGCAAAGGUGUGCUAGUGCUAAAUAGAAUGAAGCCACGUCUGACUGACAUGGCAUCCAUAACGCUGCAAUAGUGUUGUUACGUCUCUACUAUAUCUCAAACCUGAUGACGGAGCUUCAAACGUACUCGAGCUCGCCUCGCUGUACUGUAGGUCCUCAAGGAAAUUGAGGAGGGAAGAAAGAGCCAAGGGUAGAAAAGACCUUUUGCAUUAGUUUCAUACCAGCAUGAAGCAUCACAUAAAUAUGAAGACGAGUUUGACUUAAAAAAACGAGAUUUGAAGGACUAAAUUGGCAUUAGCUGAUCUGAAAGUUGAGGGACCAAUUUGACCCUUGGGGCAAAGUUGAGGGACCAAAACACCUAUUUUACCCAAAUAAAAUGCUGUAAAGUUUAAUCUCUCACUCCAAUUAAAGGACCUUCGUUUUCUUUCUCUAAAGUUAACUUGGUAUAUUCUAGCCCUAAGAGGGAUCGCGGCAUUUUAACCUUGUUUCAACUAAAUAAGACAAUGGGUUUGUUGUUGAACUAGCUUUCUUAUUUUGUUUUUUGAACAAUGACGGAGUAUUGCUGCCUACUUGCGUUUAAAAAAAAACAAGAAUUAAUUUAUAACACCGCUAAUACAAUUCCAGAUAUUCGUUCUUGCUCAUGCUAUACAGCCAAAGUGCAACUAUAGAGGCAAACAAAACAUGACAACCAAAGUGCCCCCGGCCCUACAACAGAGGUUGUCCCGUUUGAUGGUCAGUUGUGUAGGUUGCCGCCUGAUGGACCUUGAAGCUUUUAAGUUUUUUUUUUUGGUUUUUGCCCUCGAUUUGGACUCGGAGUUACAGCAUCCGCAAGGCAGAUCUUACGGCCGAUGACGAAGUUGAUCAGCCAUCAGGGGAAGACAAUGCUACAAUCACAAAUCGAUCGCACCGAGCAGCCUCCGCCACCGGCUGUCGUCCGCCUGGGUGCGCCGCGCGGGGCGCCCUCGUGCUUCGCGGCCGCCUUCGACACCAUGAUCAUGGCCAUGCACGUCGAGGGUCCGUACGACGACGACGACGACGACGACGACCGCGGCGGCGACACCCAUCUCUUGCCCGAGAGCCUCGUUCCCGUCUUCGACGUCCGCUCGCGGCCCUCGGGGCAUCAUCUUCGGCCCUCGGCCCAGCGCCGAUCCCGUCCACCUCAUCUACAUCUCGACCGGGAACAGGGCGUCCACUGACUCCUUCGAGCUGCUCGACCAGGCCCCUCUUCCUGAACCUGAUGAACCCGGCGGCAAGUGCUGGGCGGCUGGGCCGGCCGUUCGUGGCACAAGCUCCCUGACCCACCGUGCACCCGGAUGGGUACACCUUCGUCAGCGUCGUGGACGGCAAAAGCGACUGCACCCUCACCUUUAGCACCAUGUUUGGUUGGGAGCGACAUGGUGACUGGAUCCUCCCUUUCUUUGGCCGCGGGCACUUCGAUCCCGAGCUGAACGCCUGUGUCGGGAUCUCGAGGUACCCGGAUAUCCGCCACAUCUGCGCCGGCGCCAGGCGGCGACGGCAGGGCGGCAAUGCGUGUCCCGGCAAGUGGGCAAGGAGAACCUGUUCGCCGAAGAGCCUGACGAGUGGCCUGUAGGUGCCGCCACGCUCGUCGACAUGGGAGGCGGGAGCCGAUUCUGCCCCGUGCAGUGCGUCUGUAAGUACGAGGAGGAAGGAGAACAACAGCCUCUGCAACGCCGGUAUCUGUCAGCACGAGUGACGACCUUGUUUCUCAAGUAUGACAAGAAUGGAGACCUGACGACGGGCUACAGCCGCCGAAUUCAGAACUACAGGGUGCCAGAAGAAGCUACUGAGUCUAUGCUCAAGUAUCCCGUGGCCUUUUGGAUGUAAUGUAAAAUACUUCUCUGGCUAAGGCUUACUUACAAUGAUACAAGGCAAAUGACAACACCGCAAGCACACAUAUUAUUCAGAGAGCAUCAGUAUAGGGUCUUGCAGUAGUAGGUGUCUACAGUAUGGGCUAUCGACACAAGUUCCACAUGCUGUAAAUUGCCAAUCUCUCUCUUAAGAUAAGAUGCCAUUCUACUUCCACCUUGGGGAUGGGGCUUGGGUUUAUGUUUACAUGAUCAUGCCCACUUAAACACCCCCAAUAAUUGCCUCGACAUCUUUUCUUGCUGCUAGGAAAAAAAAGAUAAUUUGUUGAGUGAUUGCAUUCAUUAUUCUUCUCAUCUUCUGCAAAGGCGAUCAAGAGGAAAGGACACAAGAUUCAGAUUUUAGUUCUUCUUUAAACAACUGCAUUACUGUUCCGGUACUCCCUAGUCCCUACUACAACUGAGUUACUGCAUAGGUUUUUUUUUUUAAAAAAAACGACUGGAUAAAGAUGGAGCAUACCUUACCAUUCAGAUCUUAGUUCUUGUAUUUCAUGGUCUCUUUCUCAAAUCCAAUUGUUGGGAACUGUUUUGCAUAUUCCUCCACAUCAUGGCGAAGCUUUGCAAUCUCAGCUUGGAUGCUAUCAGAUUGCAAAGUGGUAACAAAGUCCUUCAGCUUUGUUCCACCUAUAUGGCAAGAGUUAAAAACAAAAUAUAUAUAUCAGGUUAUCCCACUAGUGAACUAGACACCUCAAUAAAUACAAAUAUAUCUAACACUUCUUUAGGAAACAAACUAGGACUUUGAGUGACCUGUCGUUGCAGCCUUAAUCUUCACAGCCAAGUUCACUGCUGCAUCAAAGAAGUCAGCAACCUUAGCAAAAUCUUCCUCCACAAAUCCUCUGGAUGUAAGAGCUGGGGUUCCUGCAUGAUGGAGAGCUGGUAUUAAGAAUUUCCGAACUUAAUUUUAAAAUAAAUUGAAAACAAACAAUCUACGGCCACAUAUUUACCCAUCCUGAUGCCUCCUGGUACCAUAGCUGAAACAUCGCCAGGAACAGUGUUCUUGUUUGCUGCAAUAUGCACACAUUCUAAAACCUUCUCCACCCUUGAGCCAUCUAUCCCCUAUACGUAACAUUGGAAAAGAUCACCAUCGUUCAGACAUGGCAUCAGAAUUGGAAACAACUGAACAUCAACCAAUAUAUUUCCCUAAUAAUAACAUCAAAUAAACAUCCCAAAGGUUUAUUGAUCAUUACCAUUAGAAUUGAUAUACCUAAUUCCAAACUGAUAAAACAUGCAAUUUGAAACACAUUUCUCUCUUACCUUAUUCUUGAGAUUAACGAGGACCAAAUGGUUAUCAGUCCCACCAGAGACAAGCUCGUAUCCUUUUGCUACCAAGCUCUGGAUAAAAAUAUUCCCAGCAAUUAGUGAUUCAAAGCACAAUUAACAAUGCUGAAGAACUAGAUAUUUUUGUUUCAUAGCAUCUGGGGUGAUGUAGAUGAAAGAUAACAUCACUGUAAAUAAUAUUAUCUAACGUAGCUAAGCCAGCAAAGUGCUUUGAAAUAAAGGACACAAUAAAACAUACUGUAUACAUAAUCUACUAGGAUUUCCUAAAAGCUGCUACUAAUACAAACAGUAAGCAAGCUAAUCAUCAUAUUAAGUAAGCAUACCUGUGCAAAUUUAGCAGAGUUACUGAUAACCUGCUCUUGAUAAGCUCGGUACUCUGGGGUAGUUGCCUGAAAUAUAAUCAACCACUGAGAGCCUUAGACAAAGGAAAACAAUAUGAAUUCAAGAUAAUAUGAAACAGCAUAACUGGCACAAACCUGCUUAAGCGCAACAGCCAAGCCAGUAAUGGUAUGGUUAUGAGGCCCGCCUUGCAGACCUGGAAAGACGGCAGCGUUGAUCUUGUCCUCAAAAUCAUACAUAACCUGCAUAGUGAUAUACCUUAGUCCUUCCUUUUUCUUAUGUACUACAGCAUGAACUCAUUAGAAGAAAAUCUUCAACAUCCUAUGCUACUAUAGUCUAUUAUUUUCCUCCAGUCAUACCUCUUUUCCCUGCUUAUUUAUUUCUUUCACUCCCUUCCUGUAAAAGAUCAUGGCUCCACGUGGCCCACGGAGUGACUUGUGAGUAGUGGUAGUCACUACAUCUGCAUAAUCAAAAGGAGAUGGAAUGACGCCAGCUGCAACAAGCCCACUGAUAUGUGCCAUGUCUGCUAGAAGUAUUGCUUUCUGCUUGUUGCAUAUCUGUCAAUCACAAAACAUGAUGGAAUUAUUUGGUUGAUUACAAAAUAAAACGGUUCAAUUUUCAUUGUUAAAGAAGAAACUUGCCUUCCUCAUACGGUCAUAAUCAUAUAGGCGAGCAUAUGCACUUGCACCAGCUAUGAUCAACUUUGGCCUGAAAAGAACAGCGCUUUUCUCCAACUGCACAUAGGUAGGAGCAGAUAAGGUGUCAGGGUGAUUCAAGUUUAAAUAAUUUUACCAUCGAAAGAGAAAUGACGAAAUAAGUAUAUCCUAGAUAAGAAACUUGUUUGGCUAAAAAUGAAAAAAGAAAUAACACAUUACUGCCAUCUAUAAAAGUGACAAAGCUAUCUGAAUAAGCUGAUGAUAUAAAGUAUAUAAAAUAAGGAGGGAAAGUACCUGAUCAUAAUCAAUGAAGCCAGUGCUUUCAUCCAGUCUGUAGGGCAUUGUCUCAAAGAAUAUCGAAGUUGCCGAAAUCUUCUUAGUAUCAGUCUGCAAACGUUAAGUAGAACCUUUGAGCAACAGGAGUUUCAGUAGCAUACAUGAACGUUUCUAAGAAUUAUGGGAAACUAUAUAUACGCAUUAUGUAAUCAUGUGCGAAGGUAGCACGUAGCUUGCAUAGCAACUUCCAAUGCAAGAAUGGAACAACCAUAAAGAUUAAACCAUCUGCAGGGCUAGCAAGGAAAACAAGCAACAAAGGACACAUUCAUGCUUGUAUGCUACCUCUAAAUAAAAACAGUAAGGAGAUAAAAGUAAAAUCCAGAUCCAUGUACCUGGUAACCAUGAGAAAGAUGUCCACCGUGAGGAAGAUCCAAAGCCAUGAUCCUUUCAUGUGGCUUCAAUAGGGCGGUGUAUACAUGGAAGUUGGCAGGUGAACCCGAUAGAGGUUGCACAUUCACUGCAGAGGUAAACAUUGGUUAUUAUGAGCAAUGACAACAUAUACAGAAGAUGAAUUCCUUAUAACUAAUCCCAUGCACUCUGAACACCUUGCAAAACUUUAUAGCAUUUCUAAAUUGUAUCAAACCAUUAGGCAUUCUCUUAAUAUAGUUUAUUAGUAGAACAGAUUGUUUCCACCAACUUCUCUAAUUUGCAUCACCCAAACCUGCAUGCUUUAGUGCAAUAUAAAGGCUUGAAUUCAAAGAGAAAAUUUGUACAAGACUAUUUCAUAAAAGAGGCAAAUAUGAUGAGGCAACAUAAUAGAUAUUGGCCUCUUUUGUGCAAUAGUUUUGAACAAGACUGUACAAGAUUUUACCUCCCCACUUCGCUGGGUCCAAGCGGAAAGCCUCCAAAGCACGUUUCUGACACAAGGAUUCGGCCAUAUCAAUGUAUCUGCAACCAAGAAAAACCAGAACAACAACCAAUUCAGAUUAUCCAUGAAUUCACGCAGACGGCAAUUCAAUUUCUCUUGCAAACAUGCGUGUUUCCACUGAAACAAUCCCAACAAUGACAACUGAUAGAACAGGGCCUUACUCAUUCCCACCGUAGUAUCUUGCGCCGGGGUACCCCUCGCUGUACUUGUUGGUCAUGACAGAACCCACCGCCUGCAUCACUGACACCGACGUGAAAUUCUCCGACGGGAUGAGCUCCAGCCCCUGCAUCAAACAUUUUGACACAGACACAAUUCAAUGAGAACAAAGAAUAUAAUAUAAUCCAACAUUGCAACGACUGCAUAUGACUGAAGAAGUAGGUCUAGAAAAGAUGACUGAAGGAAACAGAGACCUUCCAUUGGCGGGCCUUCUCGAGCUCGAUGAUGUCAGCAACCUCGGGGUCGACCUCUUCGAGCGGCGCGUUCAGCUGCUUUGUCCACUGCACACGACGCCAAGAACACGUGAUGAAUAUAUGCAAGCGACUGACACGGGCAAUGGACAUACCAACGAUUCAGGACAGAGUAAUCAGAACAUACGGUGACUCCGGAUCUCUCCUCCGUCGCCGGCAGGGACGCCUGCGCACGCCAAAAGGCCAAACCAAAUCAGAGAAACGAAUCGGCACCGCGGCAUGAAUCUUUCUUUCUUUCGAUGGGUGCGUAGGAGAUAAGAACAGAGGACUGCCGUGCCACGAAAACGAAACAAGAAGCGGGCGGCGGCGUACCAUGUAGUAGAGCGGCGUGAUGCGGGAGAGCGGCUGGCGGCGGAGCGCGUUGGCGGAGAGCUUGCGGAGGGCUGUCGCCAUGGCCAUGGUGGGCGGUGGUGGGCGCGUCCACCUCCUGUGCCGGGGGGUUGCAACCUCGACUCGCGAGUUUGGGAGGUAGUGGAAUCGGUGGCGUUUUGGGGGGUUAUUUUGGCUGGAUAUCCCCGUGCUCGUGGGUGUGGUUGGAUGGCCAUGGGCCCAUGGCCUGGCCAGUGCCGCAGUCCUCAGCACGCACCACCACUCCACACCAAACGCAUCAGCGUCACCAACCCAUGAACUUUCCUUUUCCUAUUUCCUAUUCCGUGAACUAUAUAGACUUUGUCACUUUUCUAUAUGGACCACUUUGUCACUUAUUUCCUGAGAUUUUUCAUCUAUAGUUUUUUCUUUCUGGAAAUGGAUUUUUCUUGUUCAUUUUGUUUGUGGCAUUUAGUACUGGAUUCGUGGCAAUGACGACACACACUCUAAAGAAUUUUUCUUUCUUUUUUGAAACGAAAUUUCCUGUUGAGAUAGCGGGAAAUUUAUAUGUUACUACUGAAAUAUUCUGGCCAUUUUCUCUGUCGAUUCUUGACUGUAAAUUCCACCGGGUGAUCUUGAACCUGCUGCAUUAUUAUAAAUGAACAGUCAGUAUAUCGGUAUCAACAGGAAAAAAAUGAUUAUAUUUGGCCAGAUUCGCAUCAGCGCAAGGGGUAUGUAAGUAUGUUGGUCUCAAAUGAUCCCUGACCUGCUAACGUGAGUAUUAAACUUUCAUGACGACCACCAACCCUGGCAGGAAAGAUUCUCCACAUCGAGCCGUACGCAUAUGAUUUGGUAAGUAGCACCAAUCGGAAGGCGGGGCAACAGAUCGCAAAGGAAACAGCAGCUUGACCGCUGAACUUACAUUACACCAACACUUUAUCGCCCACUACCAAACACUCGGAAAGCGACACCACAAGAAGUGGCACUAUAUUUUUCCCAACAUAAGAGGCAGUUAUUAGCAAUUCAUUUAUCUAUAUUUAUUUAAAAAAAAUAAUUUACCUUUAAGACGUACGAAAUGCACGAAUAACCGCAGGAAAUUACAAACUUGACGAAAAACGAGUAGAUUUUAUCUGAACGUCUAUACCGCGCCAGGGUGUUAGUGUUACUGCCGUGCCUACGUGCAUCCAGGCCACCCGAGCCCUAUCUGUUCCACGACCACAAGUGAGCAACAGCACAAACACUGCCCACGAGUUCGGACUCGAAUGCAGAUAAAAUAAAGGCAUAAAGUGAUCAAUCUCUGUCUCAAAUAAUAAAAGGAACAGAAAUUAAUGAAUAAAGAUAAGCAGCAGAUUUUUUCUCCUUUUGUCUUCAUGAAUCUUUUUUCAGCUCAAGGACUGGGGACAAUCAUGUGUCUCUAUCAAGAUACAAGAAGUGGUAGAAAGCUACAAUGAUAGUAGACAAAGUGGAAGAAUCAUUAUAGCAGUGAUAGACUGAAUGUUAAGUUAUUGCAUUUCUAAUACCAUAUUCUGUUUAAUCAGGUAAAAAUUUACCUGAUAACUGGAAUGAGGUUUCGUGCUUGGGAUCAGCAUGCACAAAAUGUAAAACAUUACUAUUUACACCAUGUUCAUCUGAAAUCAGAGAUCAAACUAGAACUCCAGUUCCAAAAUUGCAUGCCCAACACCUAUAUUUCAAAGAAAGUCACUUGGCCACAAGAGGGAACUGCCAAAAUCACAAGUACAGGCAAAAAACAAUAUGUACAUUUUAUUUGGAUCAGGUAAAGUCACAUCUGCUCCUCGGGUUCCUAUGGGGAUAAAAAGGUUAGCCAGGGUCAGCCAAAACAAACUUGCCUGCCUUUUAUUCAGCCUCAGCUAGGUCAUCCAGCUCUACAGGGAGUAGUUGCGUGCCUUGGGAAUUAUGGGAAUGCAUACCAUGCUCAAGUCGGAUUACAAGAACAUUGCAUUAGCUUCCACAUUCUGUUCUGGAAUAUAUGGGGAAUGACCAGGCCAUGAGGCUGCAAGUGUGCGCUUGAUUACUCUGCUAAUCCACUUUGAGCAAUCCAUUCAUGCGCACCGUGGAAUCUCUCUUUGCCAGUACUUGCAAGGAUGGAUCCAAUUCAAUCUCUCCUAUAGCUAAAGCUUAAAACAGUUGCCUUUCAUUUGGAUACAAGGGGAAAAAGAUAAUGGCCACAAUCAAAUGUCUUUAAACUGGUUCACUAUCAUCCAUAGUAACCAGCAGCCAUAGCCUCUGAUGGACAUGCUACAGCAUCCUUCUUUUAGUAUGGAUCUUCUGUACCGCCCAUACUCUGAAAAUGUAACAGCAAUUUUAUAGUCAAAUUGCACGCGCACACACACACAAAUAUUGUAAAUAACCAUACGAUCAAAAUUGACAAAUGAGUAUUAGUUGAAAUUUAUCCACUAGAAAAAAUCGUGAGUACAUGAAAAGAGCGAUGAUGACCUUACAGGCUACAGGGUGCAAUAAAAACAUUUCUGUAAGAAAAAUGAUAGCCAAGUAUAACUGACAUAUUGCUCAUAAAAAAAGAGUAAUGGUACAAUCAGAAGUAUACCCAAGAGGCCAAGAUUGAUCAAUAUAACCAUAGGUGCAUAGAGGAACGAUGCAUCAUUUGACAAAGUGAUCCAGAAAUGUUAAGCAGCAAACCAAGACUAUUCUGCCAGAAAGAUUAUUCCAUAUGUUAAAGGUUGCCACUGAACAACAAGCAGGGGAGAAACCAAUUCAGAAGGGCACAUACUAAUUAGGGAAACAAAAGUGAAUAUCAGAACAUGCAAUGUUCAACAAGGUCUCAGCUUCAUCUGAUCCUGGACAUGAUGAAAAAUUGUUUGAAAUCCUUUUUCAGGUUUUCAACUAACCACUCCUUCGGGUUUCUAAGGCUAGUGCUUUUUUUGGGGGGGUGGGGGCGGUGCAGUGUGAAAAGGUUUUACAGGUCGAUUUGCUCAAAAACUGAGCAAGAAUCCUGCACCCUAAUGAUGUUUUUGAACCCUGAUGAUGUUCUCCUUUUGGAUUAUGUAAGACCGACACAUCUUCGAAGAAAUUAAAGAACAAAAGUUCAGUAUGUUGUCCUUCAACUUGUAGUGAAUGACAAUUGACUAACUCUUUCAACUUCAACAUUAACUGGGAAGAACAAAUGGGUAGCUCAUAAAGAUACAUGAAGGCUUUGAUGUGUUUUUAUCAGGAUUCUGACAUUAUCAAGGAUCCCCUGUGCCAUCCAGAGGUCGCCCUGGUGAGAGGGUUGAAGCCAGAGCCAAUACUGCUGCUCAAGCGGACAUCAUUGCCAUCCUUUUAACUAAGCAAGAACCGGUCAGUUUCUAAAAUAUCUCAAGUCUAGCUUUUCCUCGCCCUCAUUCACUGAUUGCUGUUUACCAAGUUGUCGCUAACCAACCUCUUCCAAUGGUGUUUACCCUAGCAUACAUCCCAGUUUCCAUUUUAUCUUGAGAACAUCAGUAAAUAAACAGGUUGACAUGUGACAAAAAAAAAGAUGUCGAUGUGCUAUAAUGCACAUAUAAGGAGACCUACAGUUUAAAAACCAUAACAAGAGACCUAUAAAAAGGAGCCAUGUAGCCUUGCCUUGUACACUUGGGGGCAUAAUAUUAAGUUAUUACCUGGACCAUUUGCCCAUGCACACUGAAGGAAGUUAUGUCUUUGAAUCAUAUCCAUGGUGUCCAUCCCUCAUACAUAUUGCAUAAAUUGUCGAUACUUGUUGCUUGUUUAAGAAGAUAGUCAACUUGCUCGGAAAUGUUCAAGGACCUUGACAGAAUGACACGAGAUCAAUAAACGGGAAAACAUAAAUAAAUAAAUAUAAUUGACUGCUAAAAUUCUUUCCUCUUAGUCACCCACCUGGUACCAUCUAUAUCCUUUCCAUGUAACUUAUGCUCCACUUGCUUCAGGAUGGACAGAGCAAAAGGAUUUUUACCUGUUGACACCAAAGAGAACAAGCAAACAUUAGCUCUAAAUUUGUCUGUGCUUCAAAAUCCUUCAGGCGUAAUACUUGAUAAGAAGCUAAGUUCUCAGGCACAAAAAAAGGUGAAAAUAAAAAGGUUUAUGAUGAUUUACAAUACUCAGUUUCGAAUAGCAAAGACAUAAUACAAGAGAACCAUAAAUUACCCAUUGCUUUGCAUUAGUCUUUUUGUAUAAACUGAAGUUAGAUAGCAUACUAAAUGAAAAGUUAGGUUACAGAUAUCUUAUUAUUUUAUCCAGUAUAUGCAAUUUUAGUUGCUUCUCAGAGGAAAAUCAUUUGUGGUGUCAACAUGAUGCUGACUGUACAUUUACAAACCGAUUAAAACAACAAUGAUCUGAUAAAUUUAAGUGUUGAGAUACACAAUACACUUCUUAAAGAAAUUUCAGAGCAGCCUAGUUUCUAUCAGACAAAGUAAUUCUGCAAAACUAAAUAAAGGUGUCAGACAUCAGCCAUCCACCCUUUUAUCGUUCUUACCUCUAGUUACUCGAAUCAAAGAAUCAGCAUAGGAUUUAGGAUCACUGUUGUUGCAUUCUUGUCCUCUAACUUGUUUGGAGGCUGCACUGCUAUCCUCACUUUCAAUUCUUCCCUCCACCAAAUGGGUUUCAACCUCAUGAAUAUUGCUAGCAUGUGUCAAUGCGACAUUACUUGAUAUAGACUGAUUAUCACUACUAUCUCUAGUUUCCUGGUCAGUAGCACCAGGACCUUCUAUUUCAGCCCUAACAUCCAUAAGAGCAUCUAUUUUCUCUAAGUUGUCAGAAGAACUAAUCUGGGUCAACCCUGUGGUACAUCCAGAGCUGCUAGUAUAUGAGUGCUCUGGAGGUGAAAUCCAACAUCCAUCUUGCAAAGAUACGGCUGUAUUCAUUUCUAAAUCCGCAGACUCACAUUCCACGCUUCCAGAAGAGCCUCUAUCCUUCUCAGUUGAUGAAUCGCUUUGCAAAAGAUCUGUCGAGGGUAUAUCCUGGGAUCUCACAGAUUCCCUUUCUCCUGGAACUUCUAGAGCCUGUGAAUAAGACAAAAAUAAGUGAAAUAAUUGGCACCUAGCCACAUGUAACACGUCGCAAAAAGAAAGGGUUAAAGUUAAAGCUUAUGUAUGUACAUCAAAUACAUCUAUAUUCCUAAGAGCAAAAAUAGCAAUCAAAGCUUACUAAAAAACCAAAGCAGAAACGUCAGUAUGUCACAUGCCUAUUUAGAAAUUCAGAUUCACAUAUAUUGACUAGGAAGUUCAAACCAGAUCAAGCUCCUUCUAAUACAUUACUGCACCUCAAGGUUAGCAACACAUUCGCCUCAUUUAUACCUUAAAAGUUCAAACUGUGGGGCGCAAAUGAUUAGCAUGCUCUCAGCAUAUAACAUUUCUUAGUUAAGUACCUUGUGAAGAUUCGCAGCAUGAAGACUUGAAAGCUGUCCAAGCUUCAUAACCACGGAAUAUAGUCCCUCCACAUUCUCAGUAAGCGGACCCACCAGAGGUUCUAUAUUUUUGCAAGCUUCCCUAAUUUUAAUGUUAUAAGAUUGGAAUAAUGCCUUUCCAUGAAUAAGGGGCAUACUGGCAUUGUUCUUCUCUCUUUCCUUUGAAAUUGCUUCAGACAUAAUAGUUACAUCAGCAGAUAGACAUGCUUCAAGUGGAAAUAAAGUUGCAUUUGCCUGUCAAGCACAAAACAAAAGGCCUUUUUCUUCAGAGAAAGAAAGUGAUUCCAUGUUCCAUGGAAAAAACUAUAUUGAUGGUAAGUAGUUAUAUAUUCUGUGAGUACUGUUUAGCAUAUCCCAAUAAUGUGAUAUGACCCACAUAUAUCAUAUAUUCAAACGAUGUCAAACACCAUGUACAUGAAAAACAAGUAACUAUAUUGAAAUUGGGGAAGGAAAUAUAAUGAACAAAGAGAAGCAGUGACAAGCCUUAGAAAGAUUGGUCAUAAGGGAACUGUGCACUGCAGCAGCUUCCUUCCCCAGAGCGUACACAUCAUGCAACCCAUCUGCUAUAGCCAAAACCUGCAAAUAAUUUCCAGGAAAUCAAGAACAAGAAAUAACUGAUUCGAUCUCAUUGUCAUAAACAACUAAAAAGGGAGUGUAACUAUGUAAGACAGACCGCCACAUCUGAAAUUUCUAAUUCCUCAUAGUUGGAGAGUAAAAAUCAUAAAAGACUUGCAUAUACAAUUCAGUAAUGCCAAACAGCAAGCUAAAUAAUAUUAAUUUCUCAAUUUUGGCUAAUGUGGUUACAAACCAUUUGCAGGCUUCCACAGCUCAAUCUACAUGAUUAACUUCACUAGCUCCUAUGCAAUCAAAAAACUCAAAACAGAAAGUUCCAUCAAGAUGAAAUUUGAUUAUGUACCUCGUCGAGCAAGGAACCACAUUCAGAAGUCAAGGCAGUGCGAUCCUGUGAUACAUGUUUGAAUCCAGAUAGCAAUGCACUUACUUCACAAGCAUGUUCAUACAUGGCUACAAGAGCAUCCUGUAGAUUAACUGGCAAAAGGUACCAAUAUUAUUAUACAAUGGUAAAAGAAGGGAUAUAUACAAACUCCCACAAUGGAUGAUAAAAAAAAAAAUCAACAACUCCAAGUAGGAGUAGCAUACCUAGUGCAGAUUUUGCUUUUACAGAGACUACAGAAACCUGGUUGUUUGCUGAAAACAAGCCUUUUCCAGCAGUUUCCAGGUUGACUUGGCCAACUUUCCACUCCUGUUCUGCACCUGCUUGUAACAGACAUACAUAUAACUAUUAUGAAACAGGAGAAACUUAUGUAGAACAACAGGAGGAACCAUAAUGGUAGAAGGGCGCAGAACUUUCAGAUUCUGAAUAGACUUUGGCAAUAUUUGUAUAUCUUGCUUCAGGGGUAUGGAGCUGAGUACUAUAGAGCAUAACUAAAAAAGGUAAAAAAACCACAGCAUAGCACAUCAGCACAAUUAUAUCCCACAAGACACCAACAGGCUAUCUUGAGUGGAUUCAGUUUUUUAUAGCAAAGAAUAAGUUUGUCUGUCUUGAUUAAUUUGAGCAUAACUGUAAUUAAAGUAUGAAAAAAAAGAUUAUAGUCAACUUACAUAUAAAGGAAUGAUAUGCUGCGUCUAGACGUGUCAGGAGAUUCACGAAAGUUUGCUGCCAGGCCCUGCCUUUGUCCAUAGAUUGUUCGGGAGCUUUAUCCUCAGGAAUGAAGUAAAGUCCAUCUCUGGAUGCUUCAAACUCCAAAACAGAUGUGCACAACUUAACAAGAUCAGAUGCCUCUUUUUGAACCACUUGAAGCAAUUUCCUCCUUUUCAACAGAUGACCAUGAAAUUCAGGGGGAAUUCCUGAACCCUUUGCGGUUGAACCACCUGCACCAGAAGUAUUUGUACCAGCACAGGCCCAUCCCAUUGCUCUCUCAAGUUGUCCUUCAGCUGAAAUAGAAAUGCUUUCACAAGCUUGCAGGAAUUCAAUUGACCUUGUUAUCAACGAGACCGAAGACUGGAUCUUAUCUAACAUGUUGCUUCUGCUCAGAUUUAAAAUCAAAGAGAUGAACUUAUCAUCGCUAAGAAUAUUUUGUGACAAAACCUUUGCCUUUUGCACAUGGGGAGAUGAAAGAUCAUGUAGCCAUUCAACCUGAACUGUUUCCAAAAUGGUUUUGCGCAGAGCCUCGGUGAGCUCAUUCAAUUGCUUUUUCAUUAGUGAAACGGCAGUCCGGGUAGUUCUAGCUGUCUCGUGAGCAUUACAAUAUUCCUCAAGCAUUAAUGCAACCCUUCCAACGGCAGCAAAAUCUCUUUUAGGUUGAUCUGAUUCUCUUCUUCCUUGACCCAGCUGUAGUAAAGCACUAAUUUCUUCAUCUAAACUUAGGAUGAGUGAAGGAGCAAUCCUUUCUGUUAUAUACCGGAAAACUUGUUUUUCCACAUGGAUUGCAAGCUUCUUUUUAAGAGUCAGGUAAAGUUGAUUGGCGUUAAUACUAUGCUCAACAGAAGAUGACAUCUCAUGCAUGCAUAAAUCAAGAAUUGAAUCAAGAAGGCUGAGUUCCCAAACAAAAAAAGCAUGAUCCUUCCAUAUGCCAGCUAAAGGCCACACCACAUCAGACAAUGAAGAACCCAAAGACAAAGCAUCUUUCAUACUGGAAAUGGGUCUAUCUAUGUUAGAAGGACACACGCGAUCAAGCAAUUCCAGGUCAGCAAAGGGUUUUGCCAAGAUUGAAAGGAGGGCCUUGCUUUGUCUAAAAUGAAACUCACUUUCCUGAUCACGAUCCACCAAAGAUGAGAAGUACUGUUUGGAAGAAAGCAACGAAUUGAUGACACUGUCUUCUACUUUCAUAAGUGAUGAAAUACGCAAAUCUUUCUGGCUCCAUGUUUCAUGUAGUUGUUCCAAUUGUGCUCUACAGAUUUCCUCCUGCGAAGCUAGCUCCUCUGCUUCUUCCCAAGAUAGAUGUUCUCUGCCUCUUGCAGCAGCUUCUUCAAGAGCUAUUUGCUGCUCAGUAAUUCGACCAACUUUCACAGAGUAGCUCUGUUCCAAUUCAGUAAGAGAUGUUCUCUCAAGUUCUACCUCAACCAGCUUCUCUAGAGCUUUGUCAACAGAACCGCGUAUCUUAGAAAUUAAACCAACAGCUUCCAUUACCUCUGAAUUGUGUGAAACAAAUGAUCUGAUAAAUUCUGGAAGAAAAGCUUCAGUCAUUUGUUCAAUCAUGUUGAUACUUGAGUGCAAAGCAGCCUGAAAAGUAGAAGCCCAGUGCCUGGGGUGGGGCUUUGCAUAAGCAACACUUGUCUCAGCUAAGGUUUUCCCAAUAACUUCAUGCACUUCAUCAACAACACUAGAGAUCAAUGCACAUUUUUCUAUGUGCUGUUCAAAAAAUUGCAAGCCCAUUCCAGCAUCAGCCUGAAGACCAGAAUCAUCUGCCCUAAAUUUAGCUUUUCCAAUAGCUUUAGUUGAGAGGUCAGACACUUUGGCUCUAAUAUCACUAUACAGCUGGCCCACAGCAAUCCCAAGAAUAGAAAGCACCUUACUUGUUGUCUCUUGUAUAUCACCCUUAGCUGGAAUUUUGAUCUCACCCUGCCUAAGACUUUCUGAAUGUGACAGAUGAGUGUCAUCACCGUCGUUCUUUUGUGAAGGCAAUUGAAUAGAGUUCAUGAAUGCAGAAAGUAUCCGCUCUUUGGAUUGCAUUUCAUUAUCCAACCCGAUAGAAUUCAUCAGUUCAGAACAUUCCCUUGCAAGUCUUUCCACGCAUGUAAUGUAACUUUCCAUUUGAUUUAAGAGAUCCCGAUAUCUUUGCUGCACUAGAUGAGUGCCUUCACCUUGAACCUUAGCAAUGACUUCUGCGGCCUGUCUUUUGGCAAGGGAAAGCAUAUCUUGUGAUGUAUUUCUUACAGAUAGCUGCAAAACUUGCGCCCAACUAGAUAUUGGACUGGUUGUGAUGUAGUUAACAGGAAGAACUUGCUGCAACACUAAAGAAUAUUCAACAAGUGAGUCCAAAGCAGAGGAAAGCCCACCCUGCAACUCAGAUAUUAAUUGAGAAACCUCCCUAUCCAACUCAGAGCACUGUGCUCUUGUUGGCUCUGGUACAACUGUAAGUGGGACUCCUGAUUCUAGGACAGCUGAAAUAAGGCUUAAUGCCUCGUCCUUACAAUUCAAUUGCAUGCAUGACUCAGCACACACAAUAGAUCUGUCCCGUAUAGCCUCAAGAACUCGUGCAUAUUUUUCCACCCAUAUUUUAAGCUUGUUAGCUUCAUCAACUGCUGCAGCUUUUGCUUCUGCUAACUCGUGAGCAUGAAUUUCAAAUGAAGUGCGAGAUUUCUCAGCAACUGUAGUAGCAUCAGCUAGGAUUGAAUUAGCCGACAUUUCAUUCUGCAAAACAUUUGAUCUCUCUUUCUCAGCAUGAUAAAACAUAGCUGAUGCAACCUCAUAGUGAUCUAAAGUAUCCAAGAAUUUCUGCACAUAGUGAAAAGAAGAAAUAAGGAGAUGGAAAUGUUUAUUUGCGAUAAUUAAUCUUUUGCUUGCGGACUUGGAAAUAAUACCUUUAGAGCAGAUACUGUGGCUGGCAAAUUAGUUAAGAAAAGAUCCUUAUGCUCCUGGGGAAAGGAAACUGUUCGAUCAGAUAGUGGCAAUGAUAAUAAAAAAAAUACAUUAAUAGUUCAGGACAGGAAACAGCUACAAAAUGGGACUCAAUCUUGAAAUAUUAAUCAUAGCAUCUGUGUAGUGUGUGACAGAUGGCAAUAAAGAGUGAUAUAUUUUAUUGCUACCAUCCUAUAGGAACCUAUGUAGAUAAUGAAACAAUUAACUUACUAUAUAUUUCUUAGGAAAUAAACUAAACAAGCAAGUUUCGCUACAACCAUCCAUACAACAUCAGUUAGCUAAUUUGUGACAAAGUCCCUAUACAUUUACUUCAAUCAUUGAUAAAAAAAUUCCAUAUUAAACGGUACUCCCUCUGUUCGAUAAUUUAUGAAUCUUUGGAUAAGUCAUGAUCUCCAGUAAGCAACUUUGGCCAUCAAAAUUAAAUUAUUCUUUAGUAAUGUGUUAGAGAGAGAGAGAGAGAGAGAGAGAAUCAUGUUUUGAAAGUACUAAUGAUGAUAGAUAAUAGACCUAAUGGUUCAAUUUUUCAUGUGAAAAAACUAUGUUUAGACUAUAUAAGUGGUCAAAGCUAAGGUCUGACUUUCCACAAUGAAGCGCACGUUUAGUACCAGCUCCCGGUUAAAUAUUAAAUCCACUAAUGACCAGGUAGAUGCAAGAGACAUUUGCAACAUGUUGACUUCAAUGCUACCACACCAGGCUCCCGGUUAAAUAUUAAAUCCACUAAUGACCAGGUAGAUGCAAGAGACAUUUGCAACAUGUUGACUUCAAUGCUACCACACCAGAUGUAAACAAGGUAAUGUGGGCAGUCAAGGAAGAUGGAACUUUAUGGUGCAUGGUUGGAGCUAAGGAACUCCAGAUACUGCUUUUGGGAAUAGAUUAGGUGUUUAUUUUAGUCUGAUUUCCUGGUCAGGUUGUUUUCUUACUUAAGAAGGGCACUCAAUGUAAAGCUUUGUAAGGUGUUGUACAGCUCUCCUGCGUAUUCAAGAGGUCAAAAAGAGAAGCUUCAACUCCUAGCAAACAAUUACCUGCAAAGGAACACGGAUUUCUUGAAUUCUUGAAGAGAAUAAGCUCAAACUAACUGCUAAUUCCAUUCCUUUCUUCUCUUCACCAGCAAUUCCUGCUUCAUCUUGGAUAUUUCCUCGUGUCCACUCAAUCAAUGGGUCCCAAACAAAUACUUCCAACAACAUCAAGAUGGUAUCUUUGUUCUUCAAGAGGACAUCCAUAACUUCCUCACAAGUAACUCUAAAAACACCUUCCACACCAGUCAAUCCUAAAGCUGAUUCAAUAGUUUGAGUGAGACGGAAUGGAACAAUUUCUGGAAUCUUCAGCCUUUUCCCUUUAUCAAAGCAUAUGUUGUAAUCAAUAUGAACUACAUCACCAUUGCUGAAAUCCAUAAGAAUGUUGUCCAGAUGUCUAUCUCCAAGACCCAGCAUAUGGCCAACCAUGCUCAUGGCUGCUACACUGCUAGAGAAUCUGCAGUAAAAAUUUGAUUCAUAGCUAAGCACUCACCAGCUGUAAGAACUUUAAUCAUAAGGCAAUAUUAUCAAGAAUAAAGAAAACUUUAGUUAUCAAUCUUAAAAGGGCUAUCAUAGCACUCUUUGUAACCUGCAGUGUGUUGAACGAAUGAGUUACCAAGAAUUUGUUCAAGGAAUUCCUGACCUUUUUUUAACUCAGUUACCAUAUAUAUUGAAAAAAAACAAUACAUAAUUGCAUGGCAAGUGUUACUUAACAAACCAUUUCUUGUAAACACAAAAAAUCUUAUCUAGAGUUCCUAAUAUUAACAUGACUGUUAAAUAAUGAAGAUGUCUCGCACCCACAUCAAAUUCCUGUCAACGGUAACAGAAUCCUAUCCAAGAGAAAGUACUAUGCACAAAACAGGGAGGACUCUCUUCAUCUCAGCUUCCAAGGCCCAGAUCCCAUGUACUAGGGAUCUGCAACCAUUUAAUUCAGCAAAUUCCUCACUUUCUUCAUUCCAAGAAAAGAGUACACAUUUUCUUUUCUUUCAACUAUAGUUUAUAAGAAUAUAUUGUUUACACGUUAAGGUUUAUGAGUGCAGAGUCUAAACUAUUCAAUUUAAAAUAUAUAAUAAAGCUAUUCAAUUUAAAAUAUAUAAUCAUAUAUGUCUUCAAUAUUUAAUGUGGUUUCCUAAAGUUACUAACAACUAAUAGUGUAUUUAUUCUUUCAGGAAGUGACAACUAGCAGGAAAAAAACACAAUUUUUUCCAAGGAGGGUGAGGGAAGAGCAAGUGGCGAAUAAUGUAACUGCUGUGUUCAAAAGAAAGGUGCCAUGCCCUACCUCUUUACUUUGGAGUUAAAGUUUCUGAAGCCUUCACUAGCACACCACAUUUCUUGCCACAGAAUUUGUUUUGGAGUCUCAUUCAUAAGCUCCAAUAGAACUUUUCUCUUGACAUCUAGUGGCCAAUCUCUUCGUGAUACUACCCUUUUGAUCCCUUUUUCUUUCAGUGCUGGUAUAAUUUUUCCAUAGAACAUAUCACUUGGACGAGGAACAGGUGGAACAGGGUUGCGAAUGUUACCAGCGCUAACUGAAGAUAGCUGUGCCUCUGCCUGUGCCAAUUGCGAACGCUUUUGCCAUGAUUUGUACACAUUGUAUAUGCUGCUUACAUUUUCCACCCAUUGGAUCAGUCCAGCUCGUCCACUAACCGGUGUAACAGAAUAGAACCGUAGUGCAAUAUUUCGACUUCGAGUGUCAGAAGACGAGUACAAUAAGCUAUUUAUCGCCUCCAACAACUGCAUUAUCCGAGAAUCAAGGCGUAGAUCCUCCCGGCCCUUGAGAAGGUAAGUAUACCUCUGACCAUCUGAUCCUUGCAAAACAAGCUUCUUAGGUCUUGUCUUUGUUGAAAGUAUCGUCACCUCUUUGCAGAAUGACGACACAGUUACAAUGCCAUGGUUUCCAGCAAAAGAUUCUGAGGAAUCAAGUAUCUGCUUCUCAAAACCAGGCAUUGGAAUGUCAGAUGUUGACAAAACAGCUAGCUGUGGAGCAAUUUCACUUAACAAUAUGCAUGACUUUCUUUGAUGCGUGGCUAAAGAAGCAGCAAUUGAAUCAAAAGGCUGCCAAAUCUCUCCUAAUGCUGUUGGAGAUCCAGGGGGCGUCUUAAGGGUUGUGAUUGCAGAUUUCAGCUUAGCAUUAAAUUCCUUAUGGAACCACAUCUCAUGAGAUGUUUUUGGUUCGCGAGAUGUAGAUGCCAGACGACGUUCCAAGGCUACAAUGAUUGGAGUCAUCACAGCAGAAUAUUUUGCAGCAUUAAUCUUGUUCUUUUCUGCUGAACUCAGUGUAGAAUUUGCAGCAACCCUUGCAGCUUCAUCUUUAAGUAUAUUGAUUCUCCUUAAAACAUCUGCAUCACAAUAGAAAUUUGGUCAAUAAUAACAUCUGCAUCUACUCAAGAACUGUAGUUUACUUAACAUAAAUAUAAUUGUCAUGGGCAGUCAGCUGGAUCUUACGGGCCAGAUCGAGAGUAUGGUAGGCCCAUUAGGGUUAAGUUAGAGAUAAGAUUAGAUAUCUUGUUUAGGGUCAAGUAAGCCUGAGAGGAGAUUAUCAACCAAAGGAAGCAAGAAAAUCAAUCUAUUGUCCCAAACCCUGCCCUUGUGGUGUGGUUGCCGCCACCAUAGGCCAGAUAUAAAGCAUCUCUACACGUAUGUUGCUGUAAUGUUGUAUGCUUCCGACUAAACUUCCAGAUGAUCUACUGCCAGUGACAUGAAAAUUUCCAUUUGCUUAUAAGAAAAUCCUUUUACAGUAUUGGAAAACUGAAACUGAAGGAUCACAUGAGUCAUAUCAUAAACUCUCAAGGGGCAUCAUCAAUCCUGGCAAUUCUAUGCAGUGACCUUUCAUCAUUUCAUGGCACCGGAACCUAGUUAACUGUCAUUAACUUGUCGUGUGUAGUAGCACAUGACACUAGAGGAACAUGUAAUUGCGUAAAUCAUAGAGUAAAACAAAUGAAACCUUAGGGUGCUUUUCAUGUUGCGGCCACCUUUUUAAAUCAACUUUGUUUUUACCACUUACAUCACCUAACCAAUAACAUCUAUUUAGAUUCUGCAGGAAAGCACCGCAAUGUCGAGCUGAACCUUAAGGUAAGUCAUGUAGGUAUCUAAGUUUUCAGUCAAAACCUGCCUCCUCCAGCUGAUUCGACAGGACAGCAAAAGGGGAGGUGAGGCUUACCUGAAUGGAGAUCUUGUAAAGUGCUCAGCCACUGUUCCUCCCAAAGAACAGUAAUCAUACCUAGCUCCUCAAUUGCAAGCUUAACAUCUUUAAUUAAAUUGGGGUACAGCUUAACCUAUGGAAAACAGAAAGGUUUAAAAACAUAAAAUAGCACCGUCGCUAAAGUAGAUAACCAUAGUCUGAUAUGGUAAGGUACUAAGGUAAAAUACCAGAAAGUCCGAUAUGUGCUGAAGCUCCUCAGAGGGUUCUCCUUCACAAGCAUUGAUAUCAACCAAUGUAGGAUAUACAAUAGAACAAGGAGAAAGUUUUCCUAGCUUCAGCAAUAUACUCUCCAAAAGUUCCCUUACUAUCUUCUCUGGGUGGGAACUCAAGCGUGCAAAAAGUUGAGGUAUAAUCUCCUGCAUAUUUCCAAAGCAUAUAAUUAUAAGGUAACUAUUAUCAUAAGCUCAUAAUUAUAUAAUACAGGCCACUAUCAUGAUGUACCUGCCAUGGCAGUAAAGGAACUGUUGAAACCCCACUUUCAAGUGUUUCCUUCAGUUCCACCCCAUAGUUCAACAUUAUGUGAAGGAGAUACAGCAUUGCACGCAUAGUGUAGCUUCUUGUUUUCCCUUUCAAAGCAUCAUGGUGAUAUGAAGGUUGAAGCUCAGUUGAUGAAUGAGAAAGGUACUGAAAAUAAGCAUGUGCUGCGUGACCGAAGAGUGAUACCCUCCUUUUCCUUAAUGACCACCAAAUUUCAAUAAGCUUGUCAAUCAAAGGCGUAUUGUCCUUUGCACAAUCAGAUUUACAAAGAAGAACUAUUAGUUCUGAUGCUAGAACUGCUGGGGGGUCUUCACCUUCACGGGCCUCAAAGCCUGGUGCUCCAGCUGCAGUUUCUAUCAGAUGAAUUGCCUGUUCAAUAAGUGAAGUUAUGGGGCCUGCUGUCACUGGAUAAUCACAACCCACAUGAUCUGCAUGUUUAUCAGCACAGAUACUUCUGAUUAUUUCCUCCACCUCAGAUUUCUCAUCAUUUGUCAAGUGAUAUCUAUCUGGGGAAAGUUCAGACUGAAGAACAGGGGACAGUGAAUUCUGCAAAUUUGAAUCUUUUCCAGACAGAGAAUAACUGGCAUGAGUGAAGCACCAGGAUGCAUAAGCAAGCCAAGCUUUACCCAUGCUGGGGCAAAGUUGCCAGGAUGUCUUCCGAGCAGUGCCUAUGAUUUCUUCAGCAAGUGCACGAUAGUUCAAAGUCGAAACAGCAACACUAUCACCAAACAAAAGUUCCUCUGUACCAUUUUGAAAGCCAUUAGAAUCACUGAGAUCUUCUAUUACCUUUGGAAUUAUCCUAUUUAAGAUAGGGGUUGAGUUUUCUUGCUCUAUCCAGGUUGAGAGUUUCAAACAAGCCCUAGCAAUAAGUGAAUGCGGAGUGCCAAUGUCAGAUGAACAAUUAAUUGUGGACAGAACGCUAGCACGAACCAGUGACCACAUCUCAGAUAGAGCCUCUUCAUUAUUUCCCUUUUCACGCUUCAGCAAGGCUCCUUCGUACUUAAUGUUCAACUCAAGUAUUUCCUUGUCCAUCUCAUCAGAUGACUUCAAAGGAUGAUUUGUGAGGUACUGGUUUAAACGGGUAGCCAACAUAAAGUUGCCCUGCUUUCUAGCAAGACUUGCAAGCUUCUGGCAGAGAAGAAGAGUGGAUAAAGAAGAUGGUUGUGUAUUACGGUAAACUUUGAAGACCUUUAGCCACAUGCUGCAGUCUUGAUGCAUUCUAUCGAUGGGAUCAUGCAGUACUUUCAGUAAAGAAUCCAUUAUUGAUCGUGAUUGAUUAGGUCCAUUUUGGCAGGUCAACCCCGAAGCUUCCUCGAAUGCAAAGAUGCAAUGAAGCUGGCCAGCGCAAGCAGCAGCUUCAGGCAAUCCAUUGAGUGGGACAACAGAGAGAGCUUCAUCCAACAUCAAUUUAGCCUUAUCAAGCUCCUCCUUUAUGCCCUCCAACUUGCUACUAGAUUGAAGCAUUCCACGCAAGAGCAUAAGUUCACUUCUCUCAAGUGCGACCUUGGGAUCAAGGGUGAGCUCACUGCUACUUUUCGGAGUAAGGUCAAGAUAACCCCAAGCUGAAUGAAAGUCCCCCUCAUCAAAGCACGCCAUUGCAUGAAUAGCAUUGAGUUCGUUGCCAGCACUUGUUAGAGCACCUGAAUAAGGUUUGCCAGCAUGGACAGCACGGAGCACUUGUAACUCUGCAAGCCAGCUCUCUAAGCAUUUCCAAUCUGAAAGGGAUGUGUAGCACUCAAUGACACGCUCUAUGAUGUACUGAAUGCCAUCAGACUUCAUGGAGGUAAGGGCUUCCUCCGACUGCAGUAGAUGGGAAUAAUGUGCAGCCGCCUUUUCAUACUGCCCCUGGGAUUGAUAGAUCAGUCCUGACAUCCACGAGAAGUGCUUGUCGCAAUCAGAUACACUCCGCACUAGUUGAUUGUCUUGCUCAAAGUAAGUGUACAAUGUUGACACAGCCCACUUCUGAAGUCCAACUAAGGCGUCUGUUUCAUGACAUCUGCACAAUGCCAAGGAAACAUGCCGGAGGACCUUCAGAACAUCUGCUUCUAACCUCUCUCUAAAACCAUGAUGACUUUCAGUAGCUCCACCUGUGUGACUAUUGCCUCUGAGGGAUGAUGCAGCCAGGUUUCUGAGAUCUACCAGCCGCAAUGAACAGUAGUGAACGACUGCAUCACUGCAAUGCAUAGCUAAUCCUGCAUUCAACAUUGGAUCACAAAUUCGCGAAAACCACUCUUCACAAACUCGUUUGUUUGCGCGGAAAAACACAGAACUUGCUUUAGGUGGGGGUGAUAGAACAAAGGAACCUUCAUAUGCAUUGUAAGCAUAUUUUUUCAAUGCCUCAACGAAAUCCAAUAGCAGACGCAUUGGCAAUAAGCAAAUGUCAGCUGGCCCUAUAUACCUGCCUUCACCUUCCUUAGCUUCCGGCGUCAAUACAUUUGUUACAUCCAAAAGCAUGCGUUCUAGAGCUGCAAAUGUCUGAGUGGGACCACCUAGAUGAGUUCGAAGUCGAAGGUUAAUGCAGUGCCGGGCAGCUUCAUGUAUUCCCCACCAAACUGCAGCAUGAUUGUUAACUGAGUAGAUCCUAUCAAUAAUAGCUCUGUCCACACUAGGACCUUUGGGGAGUUCGUUCCCAUCAGCAUCUCCAGACAUAUCAGUUUGACCAGAAAGCAUAUCUUUCUUGCCACGGUAACUAAAGACCAGCCGUUGCACCCAAGAUGAAAGAGGUAAUUUCAAUCUGAGAGAAAGGUAACUCAAAAUAGAAACAAGCUGCUGCCAGUGGAGUUUCCUAGGUUGUUGCUUCACAGCAAGCACGUGCCUCCAGUUCAUGCAAUGGUUGGACAUGUUAGCAAUAUCUGAGGAAUUCAGAUAACUAUGCUUGUCCACAAGCAAGCCAAACGCAUAUGUCGUGAUAGGCAAAGCGAUUGAAAAUAACCUUAGAAAUGCAUCCUUUACAUUACUAUCUGGAUCACUAAGCUUAUCAAGCAGAACCUGAGCGACAACCAAGAAGUUCAUGGGAUUGAUGAGUUUACCCAGGAAUAGUAACUCCAAGGUUAAUGCAACAUGGCAUCUCACUUUAGGCUCCCUAUCAUAUGCGCAAUCCAAGACAGUGAAAAGGAUACCAUUCGAAAGUGUAGCAUCCCCAAUGGCCUCAUAAGAGAAACUGAACUUAUCCACAUCCCUCUCCAUUCCACGAAUCAAAUUUUCAAAUGAAGCUAUCCAAUCUAGAGCCUCUAAUUUCAGUGUCAUGGAUGAUGAUGCAUUAAGACCCUGAACUAUGUAUUUGCCAUAUUUAUGCACAAACUUCUUUUUACACUCACAAGAAAUCAGCUGAGUUUUGCAACCUUCAGAUGUUGCCAUAAUGCUUGAGAGUUCCAUGUUGCUCAGUUUGUGUAGUGUAGAGAAAAUCUGAAACUGCAUCUCAAGGAAAUUAUGGAAAGGUGUACCAAACGGGUCAAGCUUCUCUGAGAUGAAUGAUGUCAAGCUACUUGCUCGCUCAUUUCUCUUUCUUGUAUCAAGUGCAAUCGUGGCCAGAAGAAUCUUCAGAUCAAAUUUCAUUAAGGAAAGCAACUGAUCCUCUGAAUAUUGUGCCCAAGAAUGUGCACCUGAGUUCAACUUGCUUUUCCUUUCAUUGUUAGACUCUAAGGAGAGACUCUGGAUACAAGGGUAACUUGCUUGCCCUUCCUCAAGCAGAGAUUUUAUCAGCUCUAACUCUUUUGUCAACGAUGCAAUUGCUUGAUCAACUACAUCUUCCGAUCCAUGCUGUAGGCAAAAAAGGUAAGUAGCUGCUGAGUUUGCGACCACAGUAUGGUUUGGAUGAAGACGCAACUUAGAUAAAAUUGAACUGAAGUCAAGCAAAGCUCCCACAGAAGAUGCACAGAGCCCCAAAUUUUGCAGUGACAGAACUUGCAGGUUAGUCUUAAGUGCUGCCACCAACUGUGCUGAUGAGGCAACUUCCAAACUCUGGGCCAACACAUCCACAAACAGGACAUAAAAUUCAGCAAACCGUUCCUGCAGAAUCUCUGCAAGCAAGACCAAGCAUCUGGAUGCUUCUUCCAUCCUCUCAGACCAGCCAAGCUUAGAGGCUAUCACUGAUGCACACCUUAAAAGCUGAGGAGCUAACGCUUCCAGAGGCCCAGCUACAAGUUCCCUUAGGUUAUUUCGCUCAGCCACACCAGACGCCAUGAUCUGCAGUACCGUAGAGAAGCAAGCAAACAGCGGACGAAGUCGCCCAGAGUUAUGGCUGGCUGCAAGGUUGGGAUCAUGCACAAGCACCUCCAUAUCAGCCAAGAACUUGGGAAGCAACCCAAGCGAGAACUGCAGAUUCCCAAGCCAAUGCCACUGAAACUGCAAAAAGCUAUCCAUAAUCAUGCUGCGAUCGGCAUCAGCAAGGUCUGGCACAAACGCCCACCCAAGGAGCAGGUCCAUGAUAUCAACAAACUGCGGACGGAAGCAAUGGGGGAACUUGGCGGCAAUCAGCAUAAGCAGGCCGAGCAGACACCGGAGCACGGCGAGGGACGUCCGCUCAUCCUCGAGCACGUCACGGCAGGAGGCGAGGAGAGGCGGCACGAACCGCUCGACCGGGGCCACGUCCCCGGUGGCCAGGAGCUCCCGGAGCCCUUCGGUGACGAGCGCGGCUGAGGAAGGGUCCCCCAGAAGCGGCAGCGCCCAGGCGACGAACCCGUCCGGCAGACCCCCGGGCGCUUCGUGCGAGCACAGCACCGCGCAGAGCGUCGCGUACGCCGACACCGCCGCACGUCGCACCGCGUAGGACCUGCACAGCAAACCAUCAAGCACGAGCCGGAUGAGCCGAGGUGAUGCGUGAAGGGGGGAAAGCGAAGAGAACGAGAGGAGGGUGCACUUACGCAUCAUCAGCGAGGAGGACCGAGAGGGGCGGGGCGAGGAAGGGGGCGAGGGCGGGGAGGAGGGGCCGGUUGGGUGGGUGGAGGAAGGAGAGGCGGAGGUUGGAGAGUGCGGCGGUGCGGGAGGCGUCAUCGGAGGGGUGCGGGGGGUCGCCGGCGGCGGCGGAGAGGAGGGAGGAAAGGUGCUGCUGCAGCUGGUGGUGCGCGUAGGAGGGGCGAGGGUUUUGCAUUGUCGCGCCCGCCGCGCCGUCAAUCUCAUCGACCGCCGCGCUCCGCUCGCCGCCCGGCGCGGAGAAACAUCUAUGGCGUCGCCGUCUUCUGUUACUUGUGGAGCGCCCGGUGAACCGAAGGCCCGAAGGUUCAGAUCGAUAACGCGACUAGGGGAGGAGACGGGCUCGUUUCGGCCCCGAUGAACCGUGCGUGUGCAGCAGCCCAAGGCCCGUGGGUCGGGGUGGUAAUUGAUGUGUGGGUCUCACAGUGACGGCCCACACGCCAACGAGAACGAGUUCCUUUGCAGACCGUUCUCCUGGAAACGCACACGGUCGUCGGGAUUUGGGUCACCUUGUGUCUGAAUUCUGAUCAGGAUUAAUUGAUUAUACAUGACUUUGUAAGUAAAGACACUUUCCUCUGCAUCCAAGCCAGUCAAUCCCCAUCCAAAGGAUGCCAACGUUCCCAAGGAAAGGAAGCCCAGGACUUUGCUGCAUCUCUGGCUAUGUAGUUUUUUCUGUGACUGUUGUUGCAUUACUGAAAAUAUUUUCAAUGUAUCUAAAUCCAUAAUGUAAAUUGCCUUUUCGAUGCUCACUGGCUUGAUCCUUUUGUAAAUCUGAUUUUACUGGCAUAUAACUGUAUUGCUUACCAUUCCCUGAAGUUUUGCCAUAGAUUAACACCAUACUCUGUUUAUGCUGCUGAAUAGUUAAGAUCAUCAGAUGGAAUGUUGAAUUAGUUAUACCUUAUUGUUGGUGCAACUUUUUUUUGGCAGUGCACCAAGCUACUCCUACAGGCCCUACUCAGAGCAGCAAUGUCUCCGUGCUCGGAAGAAUUGGGUUAACUCAAGGUGGUAUCUUUGGCAAAAAAAAAAAAAUAUUGGAAACGUAGUCAGUUCCAUGGCAUAUAGAACUGCUGCUAAUGAUCAAUAUCUAAAUGCACAUAAUUCUGAGGCACGACUUCUGGUACCGGAAGUGCCACUUCACGCAGAGCUGUUGAUGCUGCAAUUGAUAAGCUGACCAUCUACUGCUAACCAUGCUGCUCCAGUGGGAGAGUAUGAUUCAUGUGACAUCUCGCCCUCUCUGUGUUUGAUCUAGCAUGAUGUUUCUAUUAUUUCACCAUGGUUAGUGUACUCUGGCAUGGUUUUCUAUGGUAAUACAUACCCAUGGUUAGUGUUUCAUAUGGUGAUAACCAACCUACAUUUGGAAUCACAUAGAGUAUUUGUUGUCUAUUAUUUGUCUUUUAGAUUUAUAUAGUUGAUGUGCAUUGGUUAUUGGCAGCUGUGUUUUUUUUUAACCCUAAAUGUUGAAGUUGCACUAAGAAAACCCCUUGCUGAACUUUUAUUUCUGUAGUUGAAUCAUGAUAGCUGCUCGCACUAACCAUCGGUGUUUACUUCGAUAACUGUUCAAAGUUGAGUUCAGUGGACAAGUGGUACAGAUUAGUAUAUUGUUUACUAGCAGCCGCUGAUGUUUUCUUAAUUGAUAAUGCAGCGUAUCAGAAACUAUGAAGUUGGCGACUUCAGUAAACGCAAGUACUACAUCCACAAGCUGAACGAGAGCCGCUGGAGAGCUCGUGCAUCUACCUAAGUUGCUGUUUCAUUGGAGGUUGGAGCUGAUCAUUCAAUGGCUAUCUUUGCUCGCAUGGUUGAUUAGUAAUGGCUCUGCAGAACGACCGUGCCUGCACCGUGGUAGUUGCCUUACGAAUUUUGGUGCCCCGAUGAAGCAGGUGUUCGUAAUGGAAAUAGGUUGUUUACCAAUGGAUGGUGAUGUUCUUUUCACCAUGGUUGUGAAGGUUGGCCGCAUCAAGUUUUUAUCAGUGCAACAUCAGGGGAAUUGCGUAAAUCCAUCUAAUCUUUCAUGCACUGAUGAUUGGUAGUCGAGCAGACUUGCGAAGACUUUUUUCUCCCCGUUUUUCGAUUACAGUGGCGACCGCUCGACUCGAGACCCUCCUAACACCGGGAAAAAAAAUCUCUCUAGCAGGUCGGCCUGUUAUCUGCAUAGCUUGAACGAAAAGACUUCAAAACCAGCCCAUGUAUAUGAAUUUCACGUAACAAUUUUUUUCAUUUUGCUUGGCGCACAAAGUGGCGCAGCAUAUUUAAGCAUCUGUGUUUCAUCAUCAGAAACAAAAACGACAAUUAGGAACGAACGGGUGCGGUGAUGGAUGAAGUGGAUGACAACAACUUAAGAAAAGAAAAUCCGAGCCCACAUCGACACAGCAAAACCCACAUGGCUCGGCCCAUGUACCGGCACCUUUUGUUGGCCCAUCACAGCACCGCAAUCUGGCGGAGUCGCGCCGUUGCGGCUUCUUUUCUCAGGGGCGAGCGCGGUUUAGUCCCACCUCGGCGCCUCAACCUUGCGCGGCUGCUCGAGCUGCCUAUAUAACAAAGCCCCCAGGCAACCUAGCUCCUUACUUACCUGGACGGGGUCGAUGGGCGAUCAAGAAGGCCCAUGGCCUAGAUCAGUGGCCCACAUUGCACUUGGUGGGUGCGCUGGUUUACCAUCUCCCCAAGUGGGAGAGUGGACGUCAUAAUUUGUGGUAGAGGGGGUACGCGUUCGCGCGGCCCCUGCCAAUUCUAAGAAAUUAAAAUUUUACUCUUGCAUACAGGGUUAGGUCCCUGGUAAAGGUUUUCCUUGCUAUAUUCUUCGUAUAGGUCCCUGCUCUCUGUAAUGUCGAUAUCGCAAGUUGUGGUGGUGGGCUUGUUUUGGGCCCAAAGCCAGAAUUUUUAUGGGUGAAAGAACAAAUGAAUUUCGAGACGAUCUCGGCAAUGGCGAUAUGGCAUGUUAGGGCCUGUUAACUCCUCCCUAAACAUGCUUACAUGUUAUUUCGUUAACCUUUGCAGAUUUGAGUUCGUUGUUGAGUUUAUUAAAGUGCCUUUGCCGAUGAGAUCCCACUGUUCUUAAUUGAUUAUGCAGAGUUGUGGUAGGCUGUGCUAUUGGAAUUUGUGGCCGAUACUUCUACAAGGUGAUGCUUGAAACUGCGAUUUGCUCGAAGAACCCAAAAUGUCGAGAUAAGCUAGCUACUAGAGCUCUUGAGCGAAUAUCCAGGGCAAAUAAAAUGUUCAAAGAAUUCAACGUCUGAUCCCAUCAGUGCUUUUCUGAAACCGGACAGCUGCAAUUGUCAGGCCUUGCAGACUAGUAGGUUGAAAACGCCGCCAAUUCAGCAGCACCAUUCAUACCGAUCGACUUGGUAAAUAUGUAAAGCUUGAUGUGCUGAUGGAACGAGAAUCUUUAUUUUCGAAAUCUGAUAUCGCAUCUUAGAAGUUGUAAGAAUAAAUAAUUAAAAAUCAACGACCGCGACAAUUAGUCCUUACUCCUUAAAAUCUCGAAUAAGGAAAAGAAAGAGUGCGUACCGGGGAGAGGGGGAACUCGGCAUCAUAAAUAUCAUGCCCUAGCUGCCGCCCCCGUCAUCCCGCCGUCUUUUCCCUGACGUAGUGCUGGGGGUGAUGCGAUGCGAUGCGAGCACGCAAGAGGUGAAGAACAAGAGGUGGACACAAGGAAGAAGAAGCCGGAGAUCUAGAAGAAAGAGAAGACAAGCCGUCUUGCUGUUCUGAUCUCGGGUAACAGCCAUGGACCUAUCGCUUUGUGCCAUGGAACCUCCGUCUGCUGAUGCUGCGACGGCUCCCAAGACCGUUCAGGUUGGUGCCAGUGCUUAAUCCAUGCCACAUCCACUCUAAGAACUUCGAGGAUGUACGCUACCUUCUCCCUACGAACAUGCUGUGUUUUUUUUUUCUGAGACGUAUGAACAUGCUGCUGAUCGAUUCAUUAUGAGUUUAAUAAAUUCACUUGCUAUUGCCUUGUGAUGUGGCCUCAAUGACGUUCUUGUGUGAUGAUCGCCGUGUCUCAACAGCCACGAGAUCAGGCUCGGCAAGUGCAAGCACCAUCUCCGCUUGCUGUAUCAGUGCCGCCGCAAGAAAGCUUUGGUUGUAAUGGAGGAGGAGGAGGAGGCGGCGGCGGCGGCGGCGGCUGCCCCUGCUGCUCCAAUGGGGAAUCCUGAUUCAUGCCACAUCCUUUACGAGAGCGCCGUAGCCGCUGCUACUCCAAUGAGAAAUCCUGAUUCAUGCCACAUCCCCUUAUGAGAAACUGAAGGAUGUACGUUGUUCUGCCCCCUUGACUUUUCUAGUUAUUGAGGUUGCUGGACAUAUAAUUUUUUUGAGCCAUAUUAAUUCCUCCUAAAACCAUGCUUACAUUACCUCGAUAACCCUUGAGGAGUAGUUCCAUACGAACAUGUUAAUGAUCAUCGCUGUGCUAGUUAUUUCAUAUACAUUGUUGAUUUUGCAUUUAGAUAUUUAAUUGUCUUGAGUCUUGACUAUACGAUCUCAAUGUUCUUGGUUGGUAAUGCAGUGUCUCAACAACGACGAGGUCAGGCUCGGGAAGUGCGAGCUCCAUCUUCCCGUGUUGUUUGUGUGCCACAUGAGAGCUCGUGAGCUCUGGAGUUGAUUCAUUGGCCCUUUGCCUCUUUCGACUCACGGUCUCAUUGAUAAGAUAGUAAAAAUAUUAUUCGCAAAAAAAAGACAGUAAAAAUAUGAACUAAAUGCUGCAACCUACUAAUAUCCGUACUGUGAAAUUAUCUUUAUUGUUGGUACGGGCUAAGUUUGUGGUAUGUGCUAAUAUUUUCCUUGGAGUAGUGUACAUUCUAUCCUUGAAUCUUGGAACAUCUUUCAUGGCAGUGAUCAUAAAUGUUUGCUUUUCACUAUGUUUGAACACCUAGGGUCUUGUUUAGUUGGCAAAGUUUGGAGGUGCCAAAUUACUGUUACAGCACUGUAGCACACUGUAGCGUUUCGUUUGUAUUUGUGAAUUAUUGUCCAAACAUUGACUAAUUAGGCUCAAAAGAUUCGUCUCGCAAAGUACAACAAAACUGUACAAUUAGUUUUUAAUUCCGUCUACAUUUAGUACUCCAUGCAUGUACCGCAAGUUUGAUGUGAUGGAGAAUCUUCUUUUUGCAUAGUGCUAAAGUUGGAAGUGGGGAGUGAACUAAACAAGGGCCUACUUCAGAGUUCAGACCUCACUAUUUCUGGCCGGUAGCAGACAGCUACUCUAUAUGCUGCAACGUUCACAUGAAAAGCAGCUCUUAUCUUGAGCACUUGCACAGUUGUGUGAGUUGAAUAAUUUAGGGAACUACAACUACCGAACUGAUGCUACUGAAAUUUUAUACAUGUGGAACUGAAAAAACUCUCAUGGCCAUGAAGCCUAGUGUGAGAUGUUGCCAAUUCAGUAGCGCAAGUGACACACCCGUCCGACAUUCCUGCCGACCAUGACUCCAUGAGAGGACACGUUGAUCGAUAAAGGUAAAAUUUAAAGUGAAGACACACAUUAGUCUAACAUGAUACAAGAGUAUGUCACUGCAACUCUCUGUGGAAGCAUAAUAAAGUGGCAAAAAAGAAAAAUCUAAUUCUACUGAAGAAAAGUGUCCCGCCGCAGUCCGCUCCAGCAGCGCCAUGUCCCCCCCCAGUUAAGAUGGGAGAACCCCCCCCCCCCCCCCCCAAGUCCCGCUCCCUUUUUAUUUCUGAUGCGCCUUACGCUCGUUGGACCCUCGUGAAGUCGUGGUUAUAGUUCAAUGACUUUCCUGUGUGCUUUUGUGCCUACGUGGAACUCAUAGUAUUUGCCCUUCUGAGUAGUGACGUAGUCAUCGUAUUUGUUUGUGUUAUCUUAGGGCCUGUUUGGAUACCCUGUGUUAAAAUUUAACAAGUGUUAAAGUUUUAACACUCUCAAAUAGAGUGCUAAAGUUUAACACAUUGGGGUGUUUGGAUGAUGUGUUAAACUUUAACACCUUUGGUGGGAAAUGACUCCAUUGCCCCUCAUUUAUGGCCGGCGAAGAGAGAGGGAGGAGAGAGAAGGGGUAACCUGGGAAAAAGUAGAGAGGGGGACCACUUUUAACACCUUUAGCAAGUUUUAACACCCCCUCCAUGUGUUUAUGAAAAAUUGGGUGUUAAACUUUAACAUCUCACUUUUAACACAAGUGUUUGGAUAAGAAAAGUGUUAAAAAGUGUUAAAAGUGGGGUGUUAAACUUUAACACCCUCUUCCCAAACAGGACCUUAGUUUAUUCAUGAUCAUAUAGAGAUACAGGCAUAUAGUUUACAAAUUCACUAAGGCCCCUCUUCGGAACAAAGGAAUUUUUUAGGAUUCCAAUCCUAUAGGAAAAUUUCCUACGUGACCUUUUUGAACAGAGGAUUGCAUCAUAUAAAAUUUCUUAGGAUUCCUAUGGAUGCAUGAAUCCAUAGAAAUUUUGGAGGAAAACUAACAUGAGUUUGGAGCUCAUGGAAAAUUUCCUUUGUCAUCUCUCCCUUCGAAUUCCUGUGUUUUUUAUGUGUCGCAUCCAAAGACUACUUUAGAAACUUUUUUUGCAUUUUGAAUUCCUGUAGGGCUGCAAGUUUCGUAUAAGUCUAAUCAUGCAUUUUUCCUAUUCCUAAGUUUUGAGAAUCAUCUAUUCCAAAAAUGCCCUAAAGCUGUUUAAGUGACUAAUUUUCAUCUUUCUGUUCAUUUGUCAUUAUCUCUAUUGGCUGCUUCUCAUGAGAUUUUAUAGCCUGAUGAUUGGUAUGGAUAUUUAGUAGUGCAAGCACUUUAAAUAUUAAUUAGUUGCUUUAUGAAUGAUAGAGUUCAGAAAGCAUAGGUGCUGCUUAGCAGUGUGACAUCAUAAAUUUUCCGGGAGGUUGUUUUUGACACAUAUAUAUGACCUGCCUACUGAAUAUCCGGUGCGCUGCGUGACUAGUUGUUUGCAUUGGGUUCAGACGGGCGCAUAACAACUUAACAAGUGGAACCAUUUGUGGGAAAGGACUGUUUUCCGUGCAUCCCUUUUUACAUUAAUUCUGAUGGUUUCCAUUUAUCAUAUUUUGCACAUUGUUAGCAUUGCCAUGAAUUGAGCACAACAUGUAGGUCCCGUUUUCUUCCACUGACUUAUUUUUAGCACAUGUCACAUCGAAUGUUUAGAUACUAAUUAGGAGUAUUAAAUGUAGACUAUUUACAAAACCCAUUACAUAAGUCGAGGCUAAACGGCGAGACGAAUCUAUUAAGCCUAAUUAGUCCAUGAUUUGACAAUGUGUUGCUACAGUAAACAUUUGCUAAUGAUGGAUUAAUUAGGCUUAAUUAGGCUUAAUAGAUUCGUCUCGCCGUUUAGCCUCGACUUAUGUAAUGGGUUUUGUAAAUAGUCUACGUUUAAUACUCCUAAUUAGUAUCUAAACAUUCGAUGUGACACGUGCUACAAAUAAGUCACCGGAAGAAAACGCCCCCGUAGUAUUCGCUUUUGUGAUUUACUUAAUUAUAGUGUACCUGAAAGGUUGUCAUAUAUGUGCAACUUAUGUUGCUCUUAACUAUUUUGCACUGACGUUUGAGCCAAGUCCAUCCACAUGGAAAACCAUGUCAGGGACCACGGAUCUCUAUCUCUAUUUGUGUCAUUUUAUAUUGUCAGGAAGUACAGAAUCCUCUCCUGCUCCGUCGGCAGCUCCAGAGAAAAGACCACGAAGGCCAGGUAUUAAUGUGGUCCACAUCAACGAUGCCCUAUUUUCUUUUGAACUGACAUUGUUUACAAUUUGAUCUUGGCAGUCACCUGAUUUGCAUCUAGAUCUUUUUUACAAACAUGUUGCUCCUUUAGCUGUCCAUGAUUUUUGAGUCCCCGUUGUAGUUUUUUUUUAUAAAAAAUAACUUCAUUUACGAUGUGCAGUCUCUCUUUUAAUUAUCAGCUCCAAGGUCUUUUGCAAAUUUGAUUCUCUUUGGAUUAAUUUAAUUGUUUUCCAGUUCCUAUAAAGCACAUGCAGUAAUUUGCAGCUUAUAUUUACAAUGUCACGAUGGCAAAAUCCGGUUCAGUAAAGUUUAAAAAACCAAUCAAAUGAAAUGGAUUUUGGCAACCAUCAGCAGCUUGCAGCGGACAAUAUGUACAAGUUCGAACCAUUAACGUAUGCCCUGCAUUGAGCCAUACGUACAUGUAAACUCAAACCCCUAGGAACUAGAACUAAACAUCGUAAACAACCACGCCUCUGCAAGGCCCUCUCCAGCGAGCUGAUGGUCAACGAGGAAAAAGAGUAUUGCAGCUUUGCCAGGUCCGCGCGCCCAAUCCGUGCACCGCCCCGACCGAAAACAUGCGCAGCCGAAUUGCGAAAGUACCUGGUGAGCUCCCUCGCCUGCUUGUCCUGGCUGGUGUCUUGAGAAUCGUAGACAGAGCCACAGUAAAACUCCAGCAGCUAGGAAUUUGAUUCGAUGAGCUUAUGCCAGUCUUGAGGCAUUAGAAUCUCCUGCAGGAUAGCCUUGAACUCGCUUGGGGAUCGACUCCCGAUGACGUCCAGCAUCUGGUCGUACAACCUGGUGUAGGCUUCAAGACGAUUGUCCACCGGAACCAACGAUAUGUCAUCGAGGAGCAGGGGCGUUUGGUUCCUUUGCUUAUUUUUAAGCAAGUGUUACAUCAAUGUUUAGAUACUAAUUAAGAGUAUUAAAUGUAGGUUAUUUACAAAACUUAUUACAUAAGUGGAGGCUAAACAGCGAGACGAACAUAUUAAGCCUAAUUAAUCCAUCAUUAGCAAAUGUUUACUGUAGCAACACAUUGUCAAAUCAUGGACUAAUUAGGCUUAAUAGAUUCGUCUCGCCGUUUAGCCUCCACUUAUGUAAUGGAUUUUGUAAAUAGUUUACGUUUAAUACUCCUAAUUAGUAUCUAAAUAUUGAUGUGACACUCGCUUAGAAAUAAGCAAAUGGAACCAAACCAGGCCGACGCAUACCACAUCCGGUUCCCGUCUUGGUACAUCAUUGGGAACAGACCGUGGGCCACCUACGGCAAACUUUCCAGGGAGAUGUUGUUUUUGGCCGCCAGCUCCCUUACGUUAUCAUCCACUUGGCUGGGAUGGAUGAGGUCAAUGACAUCCGCUUCACGGCUUAGCAUUGGUCGCCCAGUCAUCCUGUUGAAGAGAAAGGUGCCCAGCUUCACAUGGUGGAGGCACUUCCGGCUCUUGAAUAGAUCUCCUAGAAUAGUCAGGCCUUCCCUAAUGACGGCCUAGGCUUCUUCGUCCAAAAGGCCGUGGAGUGGCAGAUUUGAUGACGGCGUCAUCAGCAAAGCCUCCACCGGGGUUAACCAGUCGACAACCCUUAUCCCCAGACAGUGAUCAGCUAGUGGUACAAAGUCCGGCGCCUGGAGCGCCAAGUGUCUGUCGUACUUCUUCAUCUUGUGGUUCUUGGUCUGGGAGUAACAACACAGUUUUGAUUGAUUUCUCUUGCAAUCCAAGAUGAGUCAAGAAGAUCAGCAAAGAGAAGAUUAUUCAAAGUUUCGAACAGAGAAUCAAGAAAGUACCACUGUAUACUUGCCUGAAAAGAAGCAGAUGGUCAGAACAACCAAAUCUUGGAAGCAUACAGACACCAACAGAAAGAAAGAAGGGCUCGCCGGGUUCAUGGUCGCCGAGGUUCCAAUCUCGCGGCCAGCCUUUUGCAGAGGCCGCGCCAUCGUCGACGCUGUCGACGAAUCGGCUCCGCCAGAGCCGCGGUUCGCCGCUCGCCGGACGGGCCGCCGAUGCCGUCGCAUCUCCGCGCCGGUCGCCGGCUCCGCCAAACCCGAACGCCAGGUGCCUCCCUGAUACCGCCAUCGCCGCACCAGGCGCCUCCCCGCCGCCGGCUGGCGCUCGCUAAAGGACACCCCGACGGCCGUCCACUGUGGCCGCCGGCAUAAACACUCACCUUGCGAUCUAACGCCGAGUCUCUCAAUCUCGCCUCUUUCUCCUUUCUGGAUGUCCGCCUCCUCAUCGAAAUAUUGAGGUAUAUAUAAUGGUGACCACCCCGCAACUCUCGGUUGAGGUCGGAUGAGCAGCCAACGAACCCACCGCAGUUAUUAUUAUUUUCUUUUUUCGUUUUCUUUUGAAAAUUGCAAGAACAAACACAAUUCAAUCGUGUGUCCGUACCUGACCCACAAAAUUUCACGCAAUGCAAC
rnacentral:lncRNA from 1 species